CCGCUCCGGAUGCCGUGUGCGCAGGCGCCGACUUCAGAGCUCUCUCGGUGCUGACGCGGAGUUAAAAAUGAAUCUCGCUGCCUCCCCCAGGCGACUUAAUCGCCAGGAAGAUACUAUCCGGUUGGCUUAUUGUAAGACGGCCCUGGUUGAGGUGCAACCUUCUUGCAGGUGGUAUGGAAUUUGACAGGGCUUAAUGUCCUCAGCUGCAGAAUGAGAGCCCAGGAAACACAAUUUCCUUCCAAGAAUAUCUUCCAGACAGUCCAUGAUGUCUUCUAUGUGAAAUGACAGGGAUGUACAGGAGAAGCAGUGCACCGGAAAUCACACAUCCUCAAGUCUAACUAAAAUUCGCUUUUGCUCUUCCUCCCCCAACCCCUCCCUUUCAACAAUUGCAUUUGCAAAGUCUUGAGUUUCAAUCGUUUGUUUACUUGUUUGUCUCUACCUCUAGACUGGGAUCUUUCACAGGGCAGGGUCCACCUCUUUCUCACCUGUGUUUCCUCAGCAGCUUAUGCAAAGCCCAGCACACAGCUCUAGUGCUCUAAGUGUGGGUGGGUUGGUGGGGUCAACUAAAGCAGCAGAGGUUUCAUGGCUGUGUGUGGUUGGCACAAGGGGAAGCAAUGUGGGAAAGCGUGGGUUUGACAUACUUGGGUUCAAACCUGUCUUGAGCCAUUUUCUAGUUGUGGGCCUUGGACAAUUUACUCUUUGAGUCUCUAUUUCUUAAUUUUAACAUGGACUUAGUGGAUUCUUCCUGGUGAGGUUAUUGUGAAAAUUAAGUAAGAUAAUUUAUGCUAUGCACCUCUCAGAACACCUGGCACAUGGAAGUUGCUCCUUUUAGUGCUGUGCUGUGUUGGUCCUGUGGCCACCAUGCUACAGGUUCAAAGCAAAGGCAGGGGAGAUUAGCAAUUUGAUUGCUCAUCCAUUACAAAAUAUAUAGAGAUACUUUGGUCUGCAUUUUGUAGGGGGUAUAUUAAUUUUUGGCUCCAUUUGACCACUGACCUCAGAACUAAGCAGACUUUCAAUUGGCAGUCUUGUCAGCUGUGUCCUGCAGUGACAAGUAGGCAAUAAAGAAUUUUCUGUGUCUGUGCAGAGAGGUGCAGUGCAGGUUUGCUGCAGUGAGUCUGCAGGCAGACAGUCUGGCUGUGGGAGGGAGACUGUUAGUAUAUUAACACACCCAGCCUGGAAAGGGCACCAGAACAACAUUGGCUUUUGACUUUAAAGCUGACUCUGUCAUUCUCCUUGGGCCCCUCCCACACCAAUUAGAAAAGUGCUGUCAGAGGAGUCUUGGGGACUGCUCCCCAGUCUCUGUGGUCUCUGUGACUUGGGACAAGGGGCAUUACCUACAGGUGACUGCCUCUAUAGAACUCCCUUCUAUCUGCAGAAGAGGGAAAGUAAGAGACAGGGAAUUCUGAUGGGGAAGGCAUUCAGAUUUACUACCAGGGUCAUAAAAAUUGUUUAAUUUAUUUGAAAGGUGGAAAGACACAUAGAGAUCCUCUAUCCCGUGGUUCGUUCCCCAAAUGUCUGUAAUGUCUGGGGCUGGGCCAGGCCAAAGCCAGGUGCCAAGAACUCAGUCUGGCCCUCCCACAUGUGUUGCAGGGACCCAAGCACUUGCACCAUCAUCUGCUGCUUCUCAGGGCGUGCUUUAGCAGAAAAUUGCUGUCAGGAGCACAGUGGGGAUUCACCCCGGGCACUCUGAUGUAGGAUGUGGAUGUCCCCAGUGUGGUCUUAACUACUAGGCCAAAGGCCAGACCCAAAUCUGGGACUUUCUGAGUCAAGAUCAGUAUUACUUGAUGUUGGGGUUUAAAUAUAUAAACAGUAGAUGAAUUUCUAACCCUCUGGUUGAGUUUGUUUUAUUAUUUUUUUUUGGUAAGUAAAUUUUUUCUCCAGGAGAAAUAAAAUUAUAGGAAAUUAAAAAAAUUUAGUUUUUCUGUCCUAAUGUCAUAAUAAUUGUCUUAAAUAAUUAUAAUAGUAGUUAUCCUUUAUGGAAUAUUUAACAUAUGUUAAAUACUACACUAAAUGCUUUCUAUAUAUAACAUCUCUAUUUAUUUUAAAGAUUUUUUUGAAAGUUACAGUUACACAGAGAGAGAAGGAGAGGCAGAGAAAGGGAGAGAGAGAGAGAAAGAGAGAGAGAGAGAGGUCUUCCAUCCACUAGUUCACUCCCCAAUUGAACGCAAUGGCUGGAGCUUCGCCAGUCCAAAGCCAGGAGCCAGGAGCUUCUUCCAGGUCUCCCGCAUGGGUGCAGGGGCCCGAAGACUCAGGCCAUCUUCUACUGCUUUCCCAGGCCAUAGCAGAGAGCCGGAUAGGAAGUGGAGCAGCCGGGACUUGAACUGGCACCUAUAUGGGAUGCCGGCAAUACAGGUGGCAGCUUUAUCUGCUAUGCUGCAGCGCCGGCCCCACAUCUCUUAUUUUUAAAACAAUCUUAUUUUUACUUGUAGCUAGAAACCUAAGAAAGGCCACAUCUUUAACUUCACCCCAAUAUCUUUUCUUUAACACUGUUUACCUAAAAUGAAUAUUCUGCCUUCUGAGCCCUCAUGGCUACAUCUGCAGGCUCACUGUUGCAUUAAAUACAAUUUCAGCUGUGAGCUCAGUGUGGGAGCAAAGAUGGAGAGGCUGUAGUCCAUCACUAUGGGUGAGUGUGCAGGGACCUUUUGUGUUUUGGUUUAUAUUCAAGGUGAGUGAGGAUGCAAAGGUCCUGACUGUCAGAAAGGGACCACGGUAGAGUGCUAUUCUGUGAAACUGAGGCACUUGCUAGUUCUUGAAGCAGUAGAGGCUCAAGGAAGCAACGGGUUUUAGAAAGCACGUAGAUUAAUGUAUCCAAGUGGUUUUGCCAUGGAUACCAGAACCAAGGCUCCUAUGCCAGCACCUCUUCUUUUGUCCCUUGGUCCUGUUUCUCCCAAGGACACCUUUUUUUCCAAGCCCUUCUAGGUGUCUUCACCAAUCAACUGGGUGAUGUGUGGUGCCACCCCAUCCACCAUUCGAGUACCCCUCUCUCCCACGUGCAGAUGGGAUGGUGGUGUGGGAGAGAGAAGAGGUGCCUGAUGUGUGCUGACUGGGUUUCUCUCUUUCUGCCACCAACUAGUUGUGAGCCUUUGGGGAAAUCAGUUCAUCUUUCUGGGAGUCAAUUUCCUUAUCUGCAAAAUGAGGGCUUGGACCCACAGGUCUCUUAAGAGAGUGUUGUUACAGGAAGUUUGAGUGUUCAGAAUGGGGAAAACUCGUAAGCUCUAGCAGAAAGCACGCUAUUGGUGUUGGGGACAGGCUUUUGGAUUAACUGGGCCUGGCUUGAAGGACUGCGAUCAUGCCUGUGUUUGUAUCAUUUGAAUAUUGCUGCUGUCUCUCAGAGAUGGAGUGCAUGUCUUCAUUUUUCAGAUGAAGAGAGCUGAGGCAUAUUUGGCUAUGGGCUGACCAUGGAUCAUUACUGCUGAUUACUUAAUUUGCAGGGCUAAUGCAUUGCCAAUGAGUGGCAGCUGAUGUGAUGGUAGCCAGGAAUAAUUGCCAGCAAAUGGAGAGGUCUGUCCUGUUUUGCUUUAUGAAAGUGAGUCAGCCCUAGCAGAGGCUCAUGCGGCUUCUAAUGAAUUUUGUUAAGUUUGGAGAAAAAUUGGACUGUAGAUCAAUUGUGGCAUGUUUCCUCCCAACAUUUCUCACCGAAAAGGUGCUAAAAUUCUGAAAUGAGCAAAAAUUAAAAAUAUCUGCUUUAUUCAGGAGGAAAAUUGUCUCUUACGGAGAUGCUCCUUGAAGAAUAUCAGCUUCUUGAUUUGACUCAGUCAUUUGGCCAAUGAGCUCCUUCAUCCACCUUGCUUUCCUUUCUUUCUCCAACUCAGUUUUUAAAACAUAUUUAUCUAUUUAUAUUUGAAAGGCAGAGAGAGGCUGAGGCAAAGAGAGAGAGGUCUUCCAUCUGCCGGUUCAUUCCCCAGAUGGCCACAACAGCCGGAGCUGCACCAAUUUGAAGCCGAGAGCCAGGAGCUUCUUCUGGGUGUCUCACCUUAGUGCAGAGGCCCAAGGACUUGGGCUAUCUUCUACUGAUUUCCCAGGCCAUAGCAGAGAGCUGGAUUGGAAGUGGAACAGCCGGGACUCGAACUGGCGCCCAUAUGGGAUGUCAGUAUUGCAGGCGGCAGAUUUAUCUGCUACGCCACAGCACCAGCCCUUCUCCAAGUCUUUUUUACAUGUUUGUUCUUAAUUCUUUCUUGUCUGGGAUGAAAAGAUAACUUUCUUUCUCUGUGCCCACCCUUCCACCUGUAAACUGAAAUUGUUUUUCUGGUUUUAAAAGUGUUGCAUGUUUCUGGUAGAUAAUUUGGAAAAUAUGGAGAAGUAAAAGAAGAAAAUAAUAAUCACUCAGAAUUCCACCACCUGCUAACAUUUUGAAGUCUUUCUGAUGUUUUUCUUGGCAUAUUUAUUUUUAAAAAUUUUUUAUUUUUACUUUUUUAUUUAAUGAAUUCAUUUUUUUUCAUAGAUAUGACUUUAGGAAUACACUGGUUCUUUCCCCCUUAUCUCUGCCCCCCUCCAAUCCCACCUCCCCUCUCCCUCUCCCAUCUCCUUCUUCAUUAUGGUUCAUUUUUAGUUUGACUUUAUAUACAGAGGACCAACUCCAUGCUAAGCAUAGACUUCAACAAUUUGCACCCACGCACACACACAACAUAUAGAGUGCCAUUUGGGAACAAAAUUUGCAGUUGAUUCUCAUAGUACAACUCAUUAGGGACAGAGGUGCUAUAUGGGGAGUAAGAUGGCAUAUUUCUUAAAAUAAAAAAAAUUGGAUAUAGCUUAGAAGCUUUAAAAAAAAGUCAUAGCGAGAGCAUUUUCCAUGCCUAUUAGACAUUUUUGGAGAGCUGUUCUGGGGACUACCACAUUUUGCCGUAGGAUGCUUUAUGAUUUGCUGUGCCCUCCUGCUUUCCUCUGGAGCUUGGUUUUGCCCCCUGUGCUCAUGAGCUGAUCCUUUCUUGGCUCCCUGAGUGUGCUCUUCAGUCAGGCCUGUGCGCCUCCAUCACUACAGCCACGCUGUGCAUCAGCACCCUCCCCGUGUCUUCUCACAUCUCCAGGCACACAGCGCGUCUCUAUUCUUGUCUCUUACGGGCCAUAUCCAGAGACCUAUUGACUUACAUAUUUUUGUAUUUUUAGAUGUUCCUUGUUUCAGUCUUUUUUUUUUUUUUUUUUUUUUUUGACAGGCAGAGUUAGACAGUGAGAGAGAGAGAGAGAGACAGAGAGAAAGGUCUUCUUUCCGUCGGUUCACUCUCCAAUUGGCCAAAUGGCCGCCACGGCUGGCGUACUGCACUGAUCCAAAGCCAGGAGCCAGGUGCUUCUCCUGGUCUCCCAUGCGGGUGCAGGGCCCAAGCACUUGGGCCAUCCUCCACUGCCCUCCUCGGUCACAGCAGAGAGCUGGACAGGAAGAGGAGCAACCAGGACAGAAUCUAGCACCCCAACUGGGUCUAGAACCUGGGGUGCCGGCACUGUAGGUGGAGGAUUAUCCUAUUGAGCCGGGGCACCAGCCAAGUCUCUGUUGUUUUUAUAUCACAGUGUUCUGGACUGAGUCUUUGGGUGUCCCACAAAUUCAUAUGUUGAAGUCUUAACCCCUAAUGUGGGAGUAUCUAGGGGUGGGGACUUUAGGAGUUAAUUAGGUCAUGAAUAAGAUCAGCACCCUUCUAAGAAGAGACAGGAGAGGAUGUGUCUCUCCUUUCUCUCUGCUCCCUGCCAUCUAAGGAUCUACUCAGAAUGAUGACAUUUGCAAGUCAGAAAGAGGCCCUAUGAAGAACCAAGCUGGGCUGGCACCCUGACCUUGACAUCUCACUCUCCAGAGCUGUGAGAAGAGUAUGUCUGUUGUACAAAUCACGCAUCUAUGGUACUAUAUUAUAAUAGCCCAGACUGGCUGAGCCACACAGAAAAUCUAAAGCACAGCAGGACUCCAACAAUGCUCAGGCCUCCACCAAGCUUCCCAGCCUCAUCUGCUCUCUGCAUGCACCCCAUGAGCUGAUCUCACAUUGCACAGGUACACCGGGCAUCCUGCUCAUGAGUUCCCUUCUGGUUGGCUGUCAUCUAAACCAGUGAUAGGAACGUCAAACCUCUUCCCUGUGGCCCCACACGAAAUAACGUCGAUCCACUUAGUACUCUUUAAGCAAAGAUCAGCUAGCCUUUUGUUUAGGUAGGGAAUUGUUGUCUGUCGCAGCCCGGGCAUCUCCGUCCUAUCUCCUGGGGUGUUGUUCCUGGUCAAGUUGAUGCACUGGAGUAGAUCAGACAUGCUGCAUUGCCACGUUGCAGUGUCUACCCUCUUGGAGCAAAGAGGGAGGUGACUUUGUCAGGUCCUUAUGUUUGUGAACUCACAGUUGUUCCUGGGAAUCACUGCUGCCCUUUCCAUCAAAUCCUUUAAAAAAUUACUCUAUGUGUGCAGACUUUUCUUUGUCCAUUAAAAAAAAAGUGAACGUACCUGUGUUAUUUACUGAUGCCCGUAAAGUGGCAGAAGGAAGCUGCAGACUACCAGUCUAGGGAGAACUGGAAUUGGGGCUGUGGUCUUUGUAGGCAUUUUCUGUGCAGAGGACUCAGUUCAGUGCUUUCUCUCUCUUCUGUGGUUCUUACCUAAGGUCUGAUGCCCUCUCCCAUGCUGCAGCUACUUGCAUAGGGUGUGCUAGGCAGAAAAUUGCCCCCCAAAUAUAUGCAUGUUCCAAGCCCUUGACCCUGUGAGUAUGUCGCCUUGCAGGGGAAAAGGACUUUUCCAGUAUGAUUGUUUUAAAAGUUUGAGAUGAGGAGGCAAUGUGGAUUAUUCAGGUAGGCACAAUGCAAUUAUAUUUGGUCCUUCAAGAGACAGAAAAAGGUUUGAAGAUGGACGAAGGGGCCAUGAAUCAAGGAUGCAGGCAGUGUCAGGGAACAUAGCACUGCUGACAUCUGGAUUUUAGCCCUGACCCAUUUCAGACAUCUGAUGUCCAGACCUGUGGAUAACAAAUCUGUGUUGUUUUAAGUCACCAAAUUUGUGAUAGUUUGUCACAGCAGCACUGUGAAACCUGUAAGUAAGUGGUCAAUAGUGAUUUUAAAUUCUUGAGAUUUAAAAAAAGGCCUUAGUGACUGUCUACCCAAAUCUCUAAUUUUGAAUCCCUUUUUUGUUGCUCCUGACAAAGAGGAAGCCUAUGAGCUUUGGGACUGGGGGAGAACAGUGCACUUAGAAGGAAAUGGGGGAGUGGUCAUAUGAUGAGUAUCUGGAGAUGCAGUUACGAUAGCAGUCACUUUAUGCAUUUAAAGUGUAUAGUUCAAUGGUUUUUAGUGUAUUCAAAGUGUUGUACAGCUAUCACCACAAUUGAUUUUGGACAAUUUCCUCAAAGAAACUUUCCAUCCAUUAGCAGUCCCUCUCCAUUUCCUUCUGCCCUCUCUGGUCCCUGGCUAACAAUAACCUACAUUCUAUCCCUAUAUAUUUACCUGUUCUAGACACUUCACGUGAAUGGAAUCAGAGAAUAUAUGGCCUUUGUGUCUGGCUUGUCAACUAACACAGUUUUUUUUUUUUUAAAGAUUUAUUUAUUUAUUUGAAAGAAUUACAGAGAGGCAGAGGGAGAGAGAGUCUUCCAUCCACUGGUUCACUCCCUAGAUGGCCACAACAGCUGGAGCUGGGCUGAUCUGAUGCCAGGAGCUUCUUCUGGGUCUCCCACUUGGGUGCAGGGGCCCAGGACUUGGGCCAUCUUCCACUGCUUUCCCAGGCCACAGCAGAGAGCUGGAUCAGAAGUGGAGCAGCUGGGACACAAACCAGUGCCUAUAUGGGGUGCUGGCUCUGCAGGUGGUGGCUUUACCAGGCUACGCCACAGCACUGACCCCACUUAGCACAGUUUUCAAGGCUCAUCCAUGUUGUAGCAUGUAUCAGAACUAGUCCUUUCUGUUGUUGAAUACUCCCUUGUAUUGUAUGGGAUUUAUUUCAAUUACCUAUUCAUCAGUUGGUGAACAUUUGGAUUGUUUGUGCUUUUUGACUUUUAAAACUAUUUAUUUGAAAAGUAGAGUUACAGAGAGAGAGAGAGAGAGAGAGAGAGACGGAAAGAUAGAGAGAUCUUCCACCCACUGGCUUACUCCCAAAGUAGGGCUGGACCAGGCUGAAGCCAGGAGCCAGGAGCUUUUUCCAAGUGUCCCAUGUGGGUGGCAGGUGUCCAAGUACCUGGACCAUCCUCUGCUACUUUUCCAGGUGCAUUAGCAGGAAUCUGAAUUGGAAGUGGAGCACCCAGAACCUGAACUGACACUUGUAGAGGAUGCCAGCACUGCAGGUGGCAGCUUAACCUGCUGUUCCACAAUGCCAGCUCCUGCAUUUGGCUUUUAUUGAAUAACACUGUUACGAAUGCUUACAUAUGGAUUUUUGUGUGGUGCUAUGUUUUCAUGUCUCUUAGAUAUAUACCUAGGAGUGGAAUUGCUAGGGCACCUGGUAACCCUGUGUUUAACCCCUUGUGGAACUGCAAGGAUUGUUUUCCAGAGCAGCCGCCCUAUUUAUCCUUCCAUCAAUGUCUGAGAAAGCAUCAGCGAUAGGAACUCUUGCUGGCCUCUCAAAGUCGUAUAAAGGACACAAAAUGCAAAGUUGAGUGAGAAAGAGAGGUCUGGAGGUUUCUAGGAGUAAAAAAGUAUCAAAAAAAUUUGUGCCCACAGAGUUUGCCUGGAAACUCUUGAGUGAUAUCUGGAUUCUUUUUUCGAGAGCAACAAUUCAUAUUGGCCAAAUUCCCUUGACAACUGGCUUCAGUAAAUUAUUUUGAUGGUUUUAGUGCUUGGUUUUCUUGCAAUCCAUGUGAUUAUUUUGUGAUUAUUUCUGAAAAAUUCUGAUGACUAAUGCCUCAGAGGAGCUUCUUGGACCAUGACACAGUGGAGCAGAACUGUGUGCCCCAUCUAAACAAACAUACGCCAUUAUUUGAAGUUAAAAACAACAUCAGUUCAAGGUGAACAACAUUCUGAAGGUUUUAUGAGUUUGCUGGUGCUUCCAUAAUAAAUUAGCACAGACUGAAUGACUUAGACAACAGAAAUGUAUCUUCUUGCAGUGCUGAAGCCUGGAGGAGAUUUGGAAUCAAGACGCCGCAGGGUGAGCUUCCUCUGAGGCCGCCCUCCUUGGCUUGCAGAUGUCCUCUCCCUGGGUCUUCACAUGCCUUCCCUCUGUGUGUCUUCUCCUCUUCUUCCUCCUCUUCUUCUUGGGAAUGAAAAUUAUUUUAAAUUAACAUAAUAAUUGUCCAUAUCUAUGGGGUAUAGUGUGAUAUUUUGAUACAUGGAUUAAGUGUAUAAGAUCAAAUUAGGGAAUUAGCACACCUAUCAUCUUGAAAUAUAUAGUUUUGAAAUUUAUAAUAAGUUACAGUUAAUUGUUGAUCUAUGCUACGGAGUAUAGAUUUUACUAAUCCUGUUUACUAGAUUUCUGUACCUGAUCACCAGCUUCUAUCUUCCUUUUUUUUUUUUUUUUUUUUGACAGGCAGAGUGGACAGUGAGAGAGAGAGACAGAGAGAAAGGUCUUCCUUUGCCGUUGGUUCACCCUGCAAUGGCCGCUGCGGCCAGCGCGCUGCGGCCAGCACCCCGCGCUGAUCCGAAGGCAGGAGCCAGGUACUUAUCCUCGUCUCCUGUGGGGUGCAGGGCCCAAGUACUUGGGCCAUCCUCCACUGCACUCCCUGGCCACAGCAGAGAGCUGGCCUGGAAGAGGGGCAACCAGGACAGAAUCUGGCACCCCAGCUGGGACUAGAACCCGGUGUGCUGGUACCGCAGGCGGGAGGAUUAGCCAAGUGAGCUGCGGUGCUGGCCUUCUAUCUUCCUUUACCCUUCCCAGCCUCUCGUAACCCCUGUUCUACUCUCUACGUCUAUGAGAGAAACUUACUCAACUCCCACAUACCAGUGAGAACAUGCAGUAUCUAUCUUUCUGUGCAUGGCUUAUUUCACUUAAUAUAAUGUCCCCUGGGCCUAUCCACAUUGCCACAAAUUACAGGAUUUCAUUCUUUUAUGGCUGAAUAGUAUUCCAUUUUAUAUACUUGCCUUUCUCCAUUCAUCUGUUGAUGGAUAACUAGGCUGAAUUCAUAUCUUGGCUAUUAUGAAUGCUGCAAUAAAUGUGGGAAUGCAGGUAUCUUUUUCCUUUGGAUAAAUACUAUUGGGAUUGCUGGACUAUAGGGUAGUUCUUUUACUUUUUUUGAGGAACUUCCAUACUGUUUUCCAUAAUAACUGUAUUAACUUACAUUCCCAUGAAAAACAUAUUAGAGUUCCCCAUUUUGUACAUACUAAUCAGCACUUGUUAUUUUUUGUCUUUUUAAUAAUGACCAUGCCAACUGGGGUGAAAUGAUAUCUCAUUGUGAUUUUGAUUUGCAUUUCUCCAAUUUGUGCUGUUGAAUAUUCUUUCAUAUACUUGUAAGUCAUUUGCAUGUCUUUUUUUAAAAAAAGUUUUAUUUAUUAAUUUGAAAGUCAGAGUUACAGAGAAAGAGAGACAGAGAGAGAAAUCUUCCAUCCUCUGAUUGAAUUCCCAAAUGGCCACAAUGGCUAGGGCUGGACCAGGAUGAAGCCAGGAACCAGGAGCUUCAUCUGGGUUUCCCAUGUGGGAGGCAGAGGCCCAAGCACUUGGGCCAUCUUCUGCUGCUUUCCCAGGUGCAUUAGCAGGAAACUAGAUUGGAGUGUAGCAGCUGGAACACAAGCCAGUACCCAUAAGUAGUGUUGGGUUUGCGGAUAGCAACUUUACCCACUAUGCUACGAUACUGGCCACCAAAUGUAUGUCUUUUGAGAAAUGCUUAUUCAGAUGAUUUUCCCAUUGUCAAGUUAGAUCAUUUAUAUUUUUGUCAUUGAGUUGUUUGAGUUCCUUAUAUAUUAAUUCUGAAUAUUGUUGGGUGAAGAGUCUGCAAAUUUUUUCUUCUACUCUGUAGAUUGUCUCUCUCUCUCUCUCUCUUUUUUUUUUUUUUUUGACAGGCAGAGUGGAUAGUGAGAGAGAGAGAGACAGAGAAAGGUCUUCCUUUUUGCCAUUGAUUCACCCUCCAAUGGCCACUGUGGCCGGUGCAUCGUGCUGAUCCGAAGCCAGGAGCCAGGUGCUUCUCCUGGUAUCCCAUGCAGGUGCAGGGCCCAAGGACUUGGGCCAUCCUUCACCGCACUCCCGGGCCAUAGCAGAGAGCUGGCCUGGAAGAGGGGCAACCAGGACAGAAUCCAGUGCCCUGACUGGGAUUAGAACCCGGGGUGCCGGCGCCGCAAGUGGAGGAUUAGCCUAGUGAGCCGUGGCACAGGCCUAGAUUAUCUCUUAAUUCUAUGGAUUUCUUCCUUUGCUGUGGAGAAGUUUUUUGGUUGACACAUUUCCAUUUGCUUAUUUUUGCUUUGAUUUCCUGUGCUUUUGGAGUUUUCUUAAGAAUCAUUGCCCAUACCGGUUUCCUGAAGUGUUUCCACUAUAUUUACUUCUAGUAGUUUUAAUAAGCCAGUCCUGAAAAGACAAAUAUCGUAUGUCUUCCCUGAUCUGUGGUAACUAAUGGAGUACCUAAAAGGUAAUGUAUAGGAGUGAAAUUGAUAUUUUGAGAUUUAAUGAUAGUUUACAGCCUUUGUCUCGACUGUUGAGAAGCAAUGGCUUUUUCUUCGUAGUAUUUGUUGACCUCUUUACUUAGUGUAGGGUUAACUUUAUAGUAUGAAGUAAACUGAAAAUACAUCUUUGUACAAAUUAAGAGUGGGGAUAGGAGAGGAAGGAAGAGGAAGGGAAGGAGUGUGGGUAGGAGGGAAGUAUCACUAUGCUUGAAUCUGUGUAUAUGAAAUACAUGAAAUUUAUAUACCUUAAUUAAAACUUUAAAAAGUUUUAGGUCCUAUUAGAUUUUCAAGUAUUUUCAGUUGAUUUUUGUAUAUGGUGAGAAGUCUAGUUUCAUUCUUUUACAAAUGGAUAUCCAGUUUCCCAGUACCAUUUAUUUAUGAGCCUGAGCUGCCUCCAAUGUAUGUUCUUGGUAUAUAUGGUACGCCAGUAUAUGGUAAAUAAGUGGAUUUAUUUCUGGUUUCUCUACCCUGUUCUGUUGCUGUAUGUCUUUUUGUGCUAGUAACAUGCUGCUUUGGUUACUAUCGCUUUGUAGUAUAUUUUGUAGCAUUGUAAUCCCUCCAGCUUUAUUAUUUUUCUCAGGGGCUUGUCUAUUUUGAGGUCUUUUAUGAUCCCAUAUGAAUGUUAUGGAUGCUUUCCCCCCUAUUUCUCUGAAGAGUGUCAUUGAUUUUUUGUUAGGAAUUGCAUUCAAUCUGUAAAUUGCUUACGGUAGUGCAGAUAAUUUAGCAGUAUUAAUUCUUACAAUCCACGAACAUAGCAUAUCUUUCCUUUAAUGUGUGCCCUCUUCAAUUUCUCCAUCAAGGUUUUGUAGUUUUAUUUCUAGAGAUCUUUCACCUGCAUGGUUAAGUUUAUUCCCAGGUAUUUGUUUUCUUUUCAUUAUUGUUGUAUAGAAACACUAUUGCUUUUGUAUGUCUAUUUUGCAGUUUUCAUCUUUACAUAAUUUAUCAAUUCUAGUGUCUUCUUUUUUAAAAUAUGUAAUGUCAUGUCAUCUGCAAGCUGGACAGUUUGAUUUCCUCCUUUUCAAUUUGAAUGCCCUUUACUUUUUUUUCUUGUUUUUUGUUCUGGCAAGGACGUCCGUACUAUGUUAAAUAAAAGUGAUAAAAAUGAGCAUCCUUGUCUUGUUCCAGAUCUUAGAGAAAAAGCUUUCAACUAUUUCCUUUUCAGUGUGAUGUUAACUGUGGCCUUUAUUGUGUUGAGGAAUGUUCCUUAUAAACCUAUUUUAUUCAGAGUUUUUAUCAUGAAGGGGGCAGGCAUUUAGUGUAGUGGUUGAGCUGCUACUUGGGCCCCCACUUCCCAUAUCAGAGUGCCUGGGUUUGAAUUCUGGUACCGUUCCUGACUGCUAAUGUGUACUGUGGGAGGCAGAAGAUAAGAACUGAAGGGACUGAGUCUCUGUAACCUACGUGUGAGACCUAGAUUCAGCUUGCAGCUCCCAGCUUGGCUUGUCUCAACUCUGGAUUUUGGGGAGUGAACCUGCAGAUGAAAGAUAUCUGUCUUUGUCUCUCUCUCUCCCUCUAAUAUAAUAUAAUAAUAAUAAUAAUAUAAUAAUAAUAUAAUAAAAGAAGUAAAUAUCAUAAAGGAAUGUUGAACUUUAUCAAAUGCUUUCUCUCAUUUAUUUAGCACUUGAUGUUUGUCCUUUAUUCUGUUAAUGUGAUUUAUCAUGUUUAUUGAUUUCCAUAUUUUGAGCUAUCUUUGCAUCACUAGGUUAAAGUCCACUUCUAAUUUCCCACACUUAAGAGAAAUUAUACUAUCCCACCCUUAUGAUCUCAUGCAACCUUAACUACCUCUUUAAAGUCCUCCAAAUACAGCCAUGUUUUGAGGUACUAAAGAUUAGGACUUAAGCAUACGAAGUUUUUUUUGAGGGCACAUAAUUCAGCUCAUAGCAAAACUCAUUAUAAAAUUGUACUUACUAUACCAAAAGGGACUGGGUUAGUAUGGAAAAACAUUUAAAAAAAUAUAUAUACUAUUCAUAUUGUAUGUCUUUGUAUGUGCCUCAGAUUCCUUUUUUUAAAGAUUUAUUUAUUUGAAAGAAGAAUUAGAGGAAGUGACAGAGAAAGGGUUGGCGGGGGGAAGAGAAGAGAAGAGAAGAGAAGAGGAUAUCCUCCAUCUGCUGGUUCACUCCCCAAAUGGCUAAAAUGACCAGGGCUGGGCCAGUCCAAAGACAGGAGCCUGGAACUUCAUCUGGGCCUCCCAUGUGGAUGGUAGGGGCUGAAGCACUUGGGCCAUCUUCUGCUGCCUUCCCAGGCACAUUGGUAGGGAGCUGGAUUGGAAACAGAGCAGCUAGGACUUGAAGUGGCACUUGUAUGGGAUGCUGCAUCACAGGCGGCAGCAUUAUCCUCUGUACCACAGUGCUGGCCCCUCUCAGCAUCUUAAUGAACAUGACAAGAUAUUUAUUCUUGGUGCAGGAACAUCUUUCAGGAUAAUGUGACACUUAGUGUAGGCCCCAGAAAAAGUUAAGUGGAUGCAUUUUUAGUUGCCCUUUCUACAUUUACCCUGCAUGCACAUCACAGUGAAAGGCUGGUAUACCCUUUCUAUCAGAAUCUGUUCUCAGUACCUGCAACUUAUUCUCACUAUAAUACAAAUGUCUGCUUUAUGUUUCAUUUUGCCAGAAUCUCCAGCCCUAAGCCUAGGAAUCCUGCUUUGAAGGAAUUUUAGGGACCAGAGGAUAAAGAAGGCAUUUUCUGAAGUCCCCUAUCAGACCUAUGGGUAUCGCCCCACUCGGACCAAUGGUGACUCACCCUUUCACAAUGUCAGUCCUGCUUAGAACUCAAAUUAACGCACUUACUUAAAAUCAAGUCCAACUUCCAGAGAUAGAUAUCAUGCAACAACAACAACAACAAGAAUCCUUAGCCCUAUUUUCACGUAUCUGUGUUGCUCAUAACAACAAUAUAAUCUUUAACAUGAGUCAAUAUGUGCUGUCUCCCAUUUUCAGUUUUCAUCUGCCUCCUGCAUGUACCAAAGAACUGACCUAGCAACUCUUUUUUUUUGUUUUGACAGGCAGAGUGGACAGUGAGAGAGAGAGACAGAGAGAAAGGUCUUCCUUUGCCGUUGGUUCACCCUCCAAUGGCCGCCGCGGCCGGCGCGCUGCGGCCGGCGCACCGCGCUGAUCUGAUGGCAGGAGCCAGGAGCCAGGUGCUUUUCCUGGUCUCCCAUGGGGUGCAGGGCCCAAGCACCUGGGCCAUCCUCCACUGCACUCCCUGGCCACAGCAGAGAGCUGGCCUGGAAGAGGGGCAACCGGGACAGAAUCCGGCGCCCUGACUGGGACUAGAACCUGGUGUGCCGGCGCCGCUAGGCGGAGGAUUAGCCUAGUGAGCCGCGGCGCCGGCCUGACCUAGCAACUCUUGAGUGUUGACACUGUUAGGAGUGAUCAGCUUGGCUUGGGGUAGGGUCAGGAACUGGCUUUCAUGCUGGGUUCCUGUCUACAAAACUGGUGCUGUCAAUCACGUCGGCUACAAAUUCCAACAUCAAAAGGACUCACUUGUCUGAAGAAGAUGCGCGCUGUUAAGUUAGGGCAAGAAAUGAUAGCCAAGGAUGAAAGCCUGAAUAUAUUUGAUCCUCACAAUUUCAGUGAUUGGAGUGAUGAUUGGCAGUCUUUGUUGUCUCUUCCCCUCUCAUCGCUGAAAAUGUGUCUGAUUCAAUGGGAAAGUCCUUCAAAAUCCAUAUAAAAGAAUUUGUCAGAACUUUUUGAGUGUAUAAAGGCCUCAUUGGUCUGUAAGAGAAAAUAAUUAGAAUCUUUGUAUUCUGGAAAAUUUGCUCAGAAGCAUAAUAAUUGCGGAGGAAAAAUGGAAAAAAUCUCUUCAGACUGUUCUGAUCUCACCAAUAUUAAAUUUUGUCUCAGAAAGUGAAGUCUGGCAACGAACAUGUUUUAGGUAGAAAUGAUUUUCUUGCCCAGCUCUAGAGACAACUUCAUAGUGAAAGGCUGAGAUUCACUUAAUGAAGGCCUAAACCUCCAUCUCUUAUGUUAUGAAACUCUUCAAGAUUUAUAAUCCUAAUUUAUAUAAAGAAGUCAAUAUGUCACUUGUUACUGUUAUGACAAAAUAACAUAAUAUAAUAGAAAAAGCUUGUAAAAACCAGCACAUAAUUAUCAGAUUAUUUUCCCUUGGUUCCAGAUCUCUUAAAAAAAGAAACCCGAUUCUUAUUAUGAGCCUUUUGAAGAGUAGAAAGAAUACUGAAAUUAACAUUCAAUUAUUCCUCAUUUAUAUUUAAUAAUUGCUAACAUUUAUUAUAUUUACCUAAUCUCUUUUUAGUUGUGUAUUUUUCUGGCUAAAUAAUUUGAAGUAAUUCACAGAUAAAGCAUUAUUUUAACUCACAUUAUUUAAUAUAUAUCUUCAAAAAAGAAAACAUUCCUCUAUAGUGACAGUAUCAUUUUAAUCUAACAAAAUUAAUAAUAGUUUUCUAAUAUCAGCUCAUAGUUAGUCUGUAUUCAAAUUUCACAGUGAUUUCCAGAAGGCUUUCAAAACUGCCUUGUUCAAACAGGAUGCUAAUUUACUCUGUUAUCAGGGAGCUCCAUUUUCCUGUUGCUGCUCACUUACAGGCUGGCCUGGUUCUGCUGUUUGCCAGUCAGCAGAAUUCAAAUUCCCCAGCAAGUCAGCACAGAAACAUAGUUUAAGCUAACUCAUUAUGUAAACUUAAACAGAUGAAAUCCUCGCAAUGAUUGAUGACUCACAUCUUUCCAGAGAUUGACUGAAGCCUUGAAGUUCUAGUCUUGGGUGCAUUUCAGUGAGUUCACAGGUGGCUAGUUAUCUGAAGGGAAGGAAGAUGACUGGUGAUAGGGGGUCUGGAAGAAUGCAAAGAGGACAACGAUUCAUUUAUGUGUAGAAUCUAAAAUCAUGAACUUCAUAGCAGAAGAGAGUAAAGUGAAGGUUGCCAGGGCUGGGGAUAGGGGAGAAUAGGGCAAUGUUGGUCAGAGGCCUCAAAGACCCAGUUAAUGUAAGAUGGAUACUUUCUGGAGAUGCAGUCUACUUUAUGGUGAGAAUAGUUGACAACAUUGUGUUGCAUACUUCUAAUUUGCUAAGAGGAUAGAUCUUAAAUCUAGUCACCACACAUACACAUGUGCACACACACAAUGUAGAAAAAAUGUAUACAUUCAUUAGCUUGACUGUAGUGACCAUUUCACAAUAUAUACAUAUAUUAAGACAUCCUAUAUACGUACAUAUACAUAAUUUUUCUAUAUUAAAAAUAUCCCAAUAAAUUUAAAUUGUUGUAAAGAUAAAAAUUAGAGUCUGGGGCCGGCACUGUGGCAUAAAGCUGCAGCCUGCAGUGCCAGUAUCCCAUGUGGGCUCUGGUUUGGGUCCGGGCUGCUCCACUUCCGAUCCAGCUUUCUGCUAUGGCCUGGGAAAGCAAUGGAGGAUGGCCCAAGUCCUUGGGCCCCUGCACCCACAUAGGAAGACCCGGAGGAAGCUCCUGGUUCCCGGCUUCAGAUGGGCACAGCUCCAGCCGUUUCAGCCAACUGGGGGAGUGAACCAGCAGAUGGAAGACCUCUCUCUCUCUCUCUCUCUGCCUGUUCUUCUCUCUCUGUGUAAUUCUUUCAAGUAAAUAAAAAUAAAUUAAAAAAAAAAACAACAAAAACUAGAAUCUUAGAAAUCCUGCCAAGUGGCAUGGGCAUAAGAGAAAAAAUAGCUUUGAGAACACAGUGUUAAAUUGAUGAAUAAACUGGGUUUGAUACACAGAGCACAAUUUGUACACAACCGCUCCAGGAUAUGGAAUCUUCCCUACCAUAUUCACAAAAGCCUCAAAACCAUCCACUGCACAGCAAGGAUAAGCUUGUGUCCUGUGCUGUGAGCAGCACUACAGCAACGUUUUGGGACAUUGUCCUUCUUUCUGCUUUUCACAGGAGUAGGUCACCAAGUGUUGCUCACAGAACAGCAAGUAAAACAAGGCAUUCAAGGACGGCCUUGAGUGUCCUAUAACUAAAGCCAGUUUGUUUUAGAAACAACAGUGAUCUAGUAGAUGUGCUUGAGCAGAGGGGCUGAGUUGAUGGUGAGAAGGUAUUUGAAGAAAAGGGAUUUUGCAAGAGAAAGCAAGAUGGACUGGGAGAAAACCAGAUUUGUAAGCCAGAUUCACAUAAAGUGUGAAGUAAAGACUAGACACAGGAGCCUGAAAAAACAAUUUGAAAGACAUGUAACUCCUCGUUAUCUAGGUAAUUAGAUAUAGAAUUCUGGAUUGAUCUGGGUAGAAUGUCAGGGGUGGGAGGAGGGGGAGAGAGAGAGAGGGAGAGAGAGAGAGGAGAGAGAGAGUUUUCUUGAGUGGAGAAAAGCAGGGAAGCUAGAAUUGGGGUGCCUGUUGAAGAACGACACUUUGGAUAAAGAUGGAAUGGCAUUGUCGUUACCUUGUGUAAGUCUAACUUAACUACUUACCAUGGCUCCAUAGAAAUACACAGAUCUGGGUUCAGAUCUCAGCCCCAUUCUUCUAGCUGCAUGACCUUGGGAAAACUAUCCUUUUAAACGUUAGACCCAGACCUGCUGAAUGUGAUGAUAAUUAUGUCUACUUCUCAGGGAUGCUGAGGGGAAUAUAGUCAGUGAAAGCAGAGUGCUAGGUGGAGAGCAACCACACCAUGAAGAGUACCUAUUACUGUGAUAGUUCAUUUCCUGUGGUCGACGGUGCUUCCAUUGCUAUUGAUGAGAGCAUCCCAGAGACAGUGUGUUCAACAUCUCAUUACAUAAAGUGAAAUAAAUAUAAUCCUGCUUGCAUGAUAUUUUGGUCAAGGAAGGACUUCAUGUACAAUGGUGGCCCCUGGCAAAUUCGUGUCACCUGGUGACAUUGUAGCCAUGGUAACGUAGCACAACACAAGGACAGUACGCAGUCAUUAUAAAAGAUGAUGAUGUUACUGGCCCAUGUAUUUACAAUGGUAUGCACUUUUAGCUAUUUUAUAUGUACUCCUUCAAUUUAUUACAAAGAGUUUGCUGUAAAACAGUAUACCAUAUACCACAUUACACCAGCAGCUGCCUGAAACAGCUUUUAUUUAUUGUGUCUCUUGACUGAAUCAAGAGGACACAUUGAGUGAUUGACCUAUGGCAUCUAGGGUUUUUUUUUUUUUAUUCUGAAGAUAUUUGAUUAACAUGUAAUACUUGCUUUUUUUUAAAAAGAUUUUAUUUAUUUUUUUGAGAGGUAGAGUUACAGACAGUGAGAGGGAGACACAGAGAGAAAGUCUUCCGUCUAUUGGUUCACUCCCCAAAUGGCUGCCAUGGCCAGAGCUGUGCCAAUCCAAAGCCAGGAGCCAGGUGCUUUUUCCAGGUCUCCCACGUGGGUGCAGGGGCCCAAGGACUUGGGCCAUCUUCUACUCCUUUCCCAGGCCAUAGCAGACAGCUGAAUUGGAAGUGGAGCAGCCGGGACUAGAACUGGCACUCAUAUGGGACGCUGGCACCGGCAAACGGAGAAUUAACCUACUGUGCCAUGGCACUGGCUCCUAUACUUGCAUAUUUUAUAUAGUGCAGUGCAAUAUGUCAACAUUUGUGUACAGCAUACAAGCUGAUAAAAUCAGGCCAUUAGCGUUUCUACUUCCUUAGCUUUUCUUUAGGAUCGGAGCCCACCAGCUCCUGUCUUCCAAUUCUUUACAUUAUUGUGAACUAUAGUCACUGCACUGUGCUGUGGAACACUAGCAUCUGCUAUUUUAGUUUUGUAAGUACACUCUGUGAUGUUCAUGUGAUGAAUAAAUUGCCUAAUGAUGCACUUUUUAAAAAAGAUUUAUUUAUUUAUUUGAAAGGCAGAGUUACAGAGAGGCAGAGGCAGAGGCAGAGGCAGAGGCAGAGGCAGAGGCAGAGAGAGAGGUCUUCCAUCUGGGGGCUCACUCCCCAGAUGGCUGCAAUGGCUGGAGCUGCACCAAUCUGAAUCCAGGAACCAGAAGCUUCCUCUGGGUCUCCCAUGUGAGUACAGGAGCCCAAGGACUUGGGCCAUCUUCUUCUGCUUUCCCAGGCCACAGCAGAGAGCUGGAUCAGAAGCGGAGCAGCUGGGACUCAGUGCCCAAAUUGUAUGCUGGCACUGUAGGCGGCAGCUUUACCCCAUAUGCCACAGCACUGGCCCCUAAUGAUGCACUUCUUAGAACAGAUUCUUAUUAUUAAGCUAUGCCUGAUUGUCAAGGAGACUUGGGGGUUUAUUGUAGGACAGGGUGGUGUUUUUUUUUUUUUUUUUUGGUCAUGUUUUAAGGAAAACAGUUCUCCCAGGACCCCUGCCUAUCUUUUAAUCCUCUUGCUCCACAGGAGGGGUUGUGCAGUUCAGGGUCUAUGAGGGCGUCCAUGGCUGAAUCCUUUGUUUAUUUUUCCAGAGCCAAACUUUGCAAAGUUCUGCCUUCUGCUGGCACUACUUCCCAAGGUGAGUCCUGGACCCAGCCCACUGACCUGGAGGGUCUCACUGGCACCAGCACCUUUAGCUUAGCCACCAAAGAGAGAACAGUUUCCUCAACUUCCUUGGUGUCCAACUUAGCUUUUUCUCAAGCAAUUUUAUUCUUAUAGGAUUUGUUCUAAACAUUCCAUUUUGUUUGAAAGGCAAAAUCACACAGAUAUAUAGAGAUAGAGAUAGAUAGAGAUCCUCCAUCUGCUGGUUCACUAAGCUGGGUUCAUUAAGCUGGGUCAGGCUGAAGACAGGAGCCAGGAACUCCACCUGGGUCUCCCAUGUGGGUGGCAGGGACCCAAGUACUUGAAUCAUCACCUGCUGCCUUCCAGGGUGCUUGUUAGCAGAAUGCUGGAUUGGAAGUAGAGGUGAGAUUCAAUCCCAGACACUGCGACAUGGGAUGUAGGCUUCCCAAGUGUCGUCUUGAUGUGCUGUAUCACAGUGCCCACCCAUCUUAUUGGAUUUAGAAAACAAGUUAUCUUUGUUUUCCCUCCGGUCUGCACUGCAGUGUUUAGAAGGUCUUUGUCAAUAUCUAGAGGCUGCCAGGAGGUAAGUGAGGGCUGGCUCAAGGUAUUUGCAGAUAGUGGCUGCCUGCUGUCUAGAACAAAAUAGUCUUGCUUUCAGAGUUCAUCCUGAAUGAGAAUCACGUGGGGCAUUUGAGUUUCAGCCUUCUGGUCUUUCAGUCGGGGUGGCCUGUAUGUUUAGUAAAUACCCUGGGUGGUGAUAAUGCAGGUACCCCGGGGAUCACACUUGGGGAGACACUGAAGCCAGUGAAUUUACCCAGAAGGCAGUCAGAGAGAUUGGCUGUCUGGGAAUUGAUUUUUUGUGAAUUGACCAAGGGCUGGGAAACAUUUUCCUACAGAAAAUAGGAUCUUUUCACCAUAGCUUCAGGGAUAAAGAUCUCCACAGUCAUUUCUCAGCUGGACUGGGGGUCUGGUUUCUUUACCUUUACUAUCAAGCCCUUUUGUGGAUACCUCAAAGCUUGUUGGAUGUUUUAAAGAAACCUUUAGAAAUACUAUUUCUUUUUUGGUAUGAGAAAUAAAGUGGUAUUUAUUUGUGUCUCACUUUGUUUUCUUUUCUUUUUUAAAGACUCUUUUAUUUGAAAGUCAGAGUUAGAGAUGGCGGGGUAGGGGGGAGAGAAAGAGAAAGAGAAAGAGAGAGAGAGAGAGAGAGAGAUCUUUCAUCUGCUGGUUCACUCCCAGUGGCUGCAAUGGCCAGGGCUGGGCCAGGCUGAAACCAGGAGCCAGGAACUUUAUCCAGGUCUCUCAUGGGCAGCAGGAGCCAAACACCGGGGCCAUCUUCUGCUUUCUUUCCCAGGCCAUUAACAGGCACGGGAUAGGAGGUGGAGCAGCCAUUGCACAAUAGGGAGCACAUAUGGGCUGCUGUUGUCACAGGCGGUGGCUUUACCUGCUGUGUCACAGCACUGGUCCUCUUUAGCUUCUCAGUUGUUCAGUGAUUUUGGUAAACAUCUGCCCCAGGUAAUCAAGAUAGUCAGACGGUGACAGUAUGCUGGGGAAUCACCCCAAAGAUAUUUACAACAAGCCUAAACACUUCUUUUGCUGAUUCAUUCAUUAAAUAAAUACUUCUGUGGCAAGUAGUUGUGUGAUAGGAACUAUGGUAGGUGCUGAUUAGAUAGCAGUGCACAUACAGGACAUAGUUUCUAUUUUCUAGAGGUUACAAUAUUAGUAGUGGCAUAUCCCAGGGGACUUCAAAAAGUUCAUGGAAAAUGGAAUUAAAAGGGGUGUGCAUGAAGCAUAGUAUUUAAGAUGCCUGGUGGGAUGUCUACAUCCCACAUCAGAGCGCCUGGAUUUGACUGCAGACCCCAGCAUCCUGCGAAUGCAGGCUCUGGGAGGCAGCACUGAGUGCUCCAGUACUUAGUUCCUUGCCAUCCAUGUGAGGACUAUGAAGUGGGUUCCUGGCUCUUUGCUUUGAUCAAGCUGUUGCAGGCAUUUGGGGACGUGAACCAGCUAUUUGCAGCCCUCUGUCUCUCCAAAGAGAAAUGUGCAUUUCCCAUAAGCUUUUUGAAGUACCCUUGCAUUAAUUAAAUCACUAAUUAAGUUGGGGACGUGACAAGGCCUAUGAAAGCCCAGCAGUGACAGUGGGAUUUGACCCCAGUCAAGUGCCAGGUAGAGCUUUGCUGAAAUGCUCACUGAGAUCCAGGUAGCCAGGGAGAAGGAAGGAGAAGCUUUUUGGGCAGGGAGCUACAUGUGGAAGGCCUGCAAUGAGACAGUCUAUGGAGAGCUGAGGGAUUCCAGAGGUUAAGUAGGUCAGUUGAUAAGAUUUAGUGCUGGCUUGGAAGGUGGAAGUAGCAAGGACAAGAUGAUGUCUAGGGUGGUUUUUAGGUUUAUGCCUAUCUACCUGGUUGGUGUAAUACCUGGAUGAUACCAUUCAGAAAGUUAGGAAGAAGCAGGCUUCUUCUUCUGGAGGGUUGGAACAUGGAGAAGUCAUUUGUUUUUUGUCUUUGAUCCUUUGCGGUGCCUUUAAGAUAUCCAAUGGGAGGUGCCAAGUAGGCAGAUGGGCCAAUAGGCAUGGGGCUGCUUGCGGCUAUGAGCCUGACGCAGCAAGCCAUGAGUCCUGUGGGAACUGGUGGAAAUGGAGGCAGUGAGAAUGGGUGAGAUUCUUCAGGGAUGGAGCAGAGGGAGAAGCACUGAAGUCAGAGGACUUAGUCCUGAGGAAUUCUAACACUGAAAGGGCGGGAGAGGUGGAGGUGCUGGCGAAGGGAAGACCGAGGAAGCUCGUUUUCUUCAUGUGAACAGUUUCAAAUCACAAGUCAACUGGAAGAAACCAUUUGUCAGAAGGAGGUUGAAUGUGUAAGAGAGUGAAAUGUUCAAUAAUGAAAUGUGCUUAGAAAGGCAAGCAGGGAUGGGAUCCAAAUUUCUGUGUCCUAGAAAGAUUGUGGUGACACUGUCACAAAACAUUUUGGUUCAAGAUGUUCCUGGAAAAAAUGGAAUUAAAGAGAUAAUUAUUUUGGUGCAAAAAUUUUUGAAAUGGAUUCAUAUGAAGGAUCUUCGAAAAGGUCAUGGAAAUGCAUAUUGUGAAAAUACUAUGUGUGGGUUUUAACUUGUUUGCUCCCAAAUAAACUUUUAAUUCCAUUUUUUUUUCAAAAAGAUUUAUUUAUUUAUUUGAGAGACAGAGUUAUAGACAGAGAGCGAGAGAGAAAGAGAGAGAGGUCUUCUAUCCUCUAGCUCACUCCGCAAAUGGCCACAAUGGCCAGAGCUGGGCUGAUCUGAAGCCAGGAGCCAGGAGCUUCUUCCGGGUCUCCUACGUAAGUGCCGGGGCCCAAGGACUUGGGCCACCUUCCACUGCUUUCCCAGGCCAUUAACAGGGAGCUGGACUGAAAGUAGAGCAGCUAGGACUUGGGAUGCCUGCACCGCAGGUAGAGGCUUAACCUAUUAAGCCACAGUGCAGGCCCCUUAAUUCCAUUUUCCAUGAACUUAUUGAAAUCCCAUGGCAGGAAGCAGGUAUGUAUUACCAGGCUUUUGCAGUUUUUUUGUCCCUGAAGAGUUAGUGUGCUCUGGUCCUGCCUCCCAUCCUGAUACUUCUUGCCUUGGAGAAGUCUUAGGGCACACAGGAGAGCUGUGGGUUUUUGUGUGGGGCAGUUUAUGCCCAACCUUCCUGUCAUCCAGAUGGCUAUCUGGUGUCUGCCUGGCUCUGUACUUCAAUUUGACCUCAAAAUGAAGGGUGUGAAGAGGCCAAUGCUUUUUUUUUUUUAAGUAUUUAAUUUAUUUGAGAGGCAGAGUUAGAGAGAGAGAGAGAGGGAGAGAGAGAGAGGUCUUCCAUCUGCUGGUUCACUCUCCAAAUGGUCACAAUGGCCAGAGCUGGGCCGAUCCAAAACAAAAAGCUGGGAACUUCUUCUGAUUCUCCCACGUACGUGCAGGGACCCAAGCACUUGGGCCAUCAACAGGGAGCUGGGUUGGCAGUGGAGCAGCUGGGACUCAAAACUGGUGCCCAUACAGGAUGACAGCACUGCAGGCAGAUGCUUAACCUACUAUGCCACAGAGCCAGCCCCUUGUUUUUCUUUCUAUUUUUCUCAGCAGAAUUAUCCAGCCAUAUAGAACUGCUAUUUUAAAUUUCAUGAAUCAGCUCUCCCUAAUGAACGAUUUUGGCAUUUUGGGGCAGUUUCUGUGGAAACAGUUUAUAGAGAAUUUGAGGUGAUAGCUGCCUCUUAGGAGACACACUGAUUCCAGCUGCAUUAGCAGUUUGGGUUCGAGAAAGUUAUCAGACAGGAAGCAAUCAUGCUGUAGACAGAAAACAAGCCAGGAAAUUUGAUCCCACUGGAAUUUCAUUGAGAGCCCAUGAUAAUGUUAAAAAAAAAAAGAGAGUAAUUCUGGAAUGGUUGUUCAGAAAGCUGAUUUCUAGAUUUUUUCCCUGCCCAUUUGUAUGUUUUUGGUGCUGAUAAUUAGUGAAUGCUGAUGGAGCACCCAUGUCCAAAUACCUGUGUGACAGACAAAGGUGAACAAGGCACAGUCCGUGUUACCGAGUGUCGGGGGAGAAUGGGUGCACAGCAUAAUGUGAUCAUCUCUAUAAUGCAGGGAAAACAAUAAAACAGUAAUACAUGAGCAGAGGAAGUGAGGGAUGUGACUCUGUGUCUGUGUGUGUUUCUGUGUGCCUAGACAAUUAAGGGUGAGAUUGACAGAGAUAGGGCAAAGACUGAAGCUAUACUAUAAUCAUAGAGUAGAUGGCAUUCAAACUGGACCUUGAAGCAUUGUUGGGGUUUGGCAGGAAGAGAUGGGGUGUGGAGUAUGGGAGGCAAAGGCAGAACACAGGGUAGGUUGGGUGUCUGUUUGACCUCCAAGGCUCAUUUCCACUCCAGGAAUGUAUGGUUUCAUGAAAUGAUCUAGCUUCCUUCCGACUACACAUUAUUCUUGUUGCCUAUUCACUCUCCCCAGACCUAAAUUCUCUCUGGCAAAGUAAUGUGCUUUGAGUUGUGUGCAGGACUUGGCUGGCGGGGCUGGGAUAAAGGCACUGUGGCUGAGUUUGCAGUCCUCUUUGCUCCUGCUUGUGUCAACCAUGGAAAUGAGACCGGAUGUGAGAAUCACCUGGAAGGAGAGCCAGGACGAGGAACGGCAGUGGGGAGUUUCAGAAAGCAACACUGGGCAGGACAGGGCCGCACAAGAAUUGUUUGUUUUUGAGAAGCAAUAGUGCUCAGAAAGCAGCCUGAGCCACAGGCAUUCCGGACUAGAUUCAGAAGCUGGGAGCCCAGGAGAAGGGAGGCCAAAGGGGCAAAGUAUGGCCCAGACUCUCAUGGCUGGUGACGGGGAGGGUGGCUUUUGCUGGGGUCUUGGAGGCCUGAGAUCUAGAAAAUAAGCUGUAAUGUUUUGUUCUGUUGUUUCCUGUUAAUACUCAGAAGUACUAACCAGGAGAGAUCUGGUUUAGACCGGAGAACGGGAACCAGUUGCAGAAACCUCAUUUAUGUGUGAGCCCAUGCCAGGGGUGUACUGAGGAAUGUGCAGUUACGCUCCCAGGCUGAAUCCGUACCUACUCUGCAUCCUGAGAGUCUCUACACAGUGGAGGAUCCUACUGACAGCUGAUUGGACAGGCAGCUGGGGGCAAGGGCUCCUGAUUCCAGAAGCAAAGGCUUAGAAAGAGAAAUGCCCACUGCCUAGAUGGCAGCAGUGGAAAGUUACCCAUGGGCGGUUGCAAAACCUUCAGGGAGUUUUCUUCAUGGGACUUGAUCUGGCUGUAUUUUGUCACUAAAUUCAUUCAUUUGUUAGACAUGUUACAUGUAUAUGUCUUAUUUUUUAUUAUUUAUUUAUUUAUUUGAAAGUUAAAGUUACACAGAGAAAGAAAGAGAGGCAGAGAGAGAGAGAGAGAGAGAGAGGUCUUCCACCUGCUGGUUCACUCUCCAUUUGGCCACAAUGGUUGGAGCUGUGCUGAUCAAAAGCCAGGAGCCAGGAGCUUCUUCCAGGUUUCCCACAUGGGUACAGGGGCCCAAGGACUUGGGCCAUCUUCCACUGCUUUCCCAGGCCAUAGCAGAGAGCUGGAUCAGAAGUGGAGCAGCCAGGACUCAAACUGGUGCCCAUACGGGAUGCCGGCACUGCAGGCAGCAGCUUUGCCUGCUAUGCCACAGCACUGGCCCCUAUGUGUAUGUCUUAUUUAGGUCAUUUGCAUACCAUCUUAUAAAGCUUUUAUUUAUUAUCAUAUAUCACUAAAGUUUAUAAUACUUCCUGGCACAAAAUAGAAUUAGUCUAUCAGCCUGCCUAUUCGUCUGUCUGCCUAUCAUCUCUCUAUUAUCUCUAUGUACGUAUGUAUGUAUGUGUCACCGUUUUGCUGUUGUAUAGUGAGAGGAGCUUCGAUUAUCAUCUUUUAAAUAUUGAAGGGGGCAUUUUGUAUUUUGCUCCAGAUCAGAGUUUGGCUUAGAUGAUUUCUAAGGCCUUUUAUCUGCCCCUCCCACUUUCCUCCCCUCGUCGUCGUCAUCAUCAUCAUCAUCAUCAUUAUCAAUUUCUAAAGCCUUUAACAAAUCAUCACUUCUGCAAAUGUUUAUUCUGGUGCCACCUCUGGAUAUUAACCCUUGAGAAUAACCUAUCCAGGAAAAGCACAUUUCAGCUGUGUCUUACUCAGUAAAUAGGGGUUUAUGUUCUGCUGAUAGGACAUUGUUGAAUAUAGGCAGUCCUGAAACUUAAAAAAAAAAAAAUCCCUAUUGUAGAAUUAUUUUUGGAAAGCAAGAGUGGCAAAAUACAGUGCCAUACUCUAUCAGGAAAAUGGAAAGUGGAGAGAAGGCAAUGAACAUAAAAAUGAAUUGCAAGGAACCUCAUCAGCAUAAAAACAGCAGGAGGCAGCCCCACCACGAUCCUUCAUCCUGACAGGUCCCGGGGGCUGACAGGCAGGGCACUUUCCUGAGGCGUCCUUCCAGCCUGCAGGGGAGGAACCGGGCAGCCCGGAUCAGCCCAAGACGGAGGCUUCUCUGCAGCUCUGGAGCGGAGGCUCUGCAGAGAGGAGGGGGUGCCUGGAGCCCUGCGGCGCGGUGCAGAGGCGAGGAAGCAAGGAGUGGAGUCGGCACAGAAAGGCACGUCCGUGCUGCUGUCUCUGUGAGGGCUCCAAGGGGUCCAGGCCUUUGACCCAUUUUAAUUACUCAUGGUUGUGGGGCGGAGGAGCGGGGAGGGAGUGUAAGUGUGACAAAGCAUUUUUUUGGAGUGAGAUCAACCCAGAAUCCAUCCUGCUUCUGCCUUGCCUGAGCUGCUUAACCUAUGCACGCCUCAAUUUCCUUGUCAGGAAAAUUGGAAUAUUUUGUAAAACAGCCGUGAAGUCUAAACCGAACGAUUACAUAUAGUGUCCUUGAUCCACAGUGCAUGCUUGGUGUUAGUCUCCUUCCCCUGAGGCCCCGUUUCAGGCUUGACACCUGUGGAAUUUGUUUGACUUUUUAAUUAAUGCCUGUCCCAUCUAAGGUGGCACCGGCAGCACUCCUAAGGGUCUCUGCUAGGUGAGUGUCCCUGGGGCCAGAUGAAAACUGACCAGCUUGAGAUGCUUCUCAGCCUUCAUUAAGGGGACAGGCUUAUGGGCCGUAAUGUAAAAUCCCAGUCCAGACAAUUCUUGUUCAAUGGAACACUCACCCUGUGUCUACUUCUGUGCAAGGGACUGUUUAGCUGUGGUUCUGCUUUCUGUGAUGUAAGUUACCUGCAAUCAACACUGGCCCAAAAACCUUAAAUGGAAAAUUGCAGAAAUAAACAAUUUAUAGGCUGUAAAUGGCAAGCUCUCCUGAGGGGUGUGACGAAACCUUGGCUGUCCCGUUCCAUCCUUCGCUGGAUGUGAAUCAGCUCUUGGCUCAGUGUUUCCAUGCUGUGGAUGCUGCUUGCCUAUCAGUUGCUUGGUAACCAUUUUGGCUGUCACUUCCACUGUUGCGGUUUUACAGUGCUUGUGUUCAAGUCAUGCUUAUGUUACUUAAUGAUGUCCUCAGAGUACAAGAGUAGUGAUGCAAAGGAGAUACCAGGACAUAAAACAUGGAAGGGCUGAUUAACUCUGGCACUCUGUGGCAAUUCUGCAGGACAUUUAGGAAAAUACACAGUACGUUGAUAUUGGGUUGGUGCUAUGCAUGGCUUCAGGCAUCUACUGGGGAUGUGGAAAAGGGAACAGUAUUGUGCAGAACUGUUUAGCACCGGGCCUCUGCAGGCUUUAUCAUCUGGAUGGGAAGGUAACUCUGACACUUGAAAGAUUAAACUCUGCAGCUCAGUGCAGACGUGGUCUGCAUUGCGGAGUGCAUGGAGAACUGUGCCCUUCUGGCACUGAGAUUCUGCACAUCGGUCAAUGCAACAAAGACGGCAGUGUCUGUCUAGCAGAAGUGUCUCAUGCUGAGCUGAGUGGAUUUAGGAUGGAUACAGGCAACUAAAAGCUAGCAGUGUCUUGGUGAAAACAGUCUUUUGCACCACAUACUAUGCUGCGUUCAUCUUUAUUGUGAUUAAUGACAAGAGGUGUUCUCAGUCACAGAAGGAUGGAUGCUCUAGGAUGCAGCCCAAGGUCACACAGGGAGGGUUGGGGUUCAAGUCCAGAGCUUCCAUCUGUGGAGCCCAGCGACCCCCUGGGUCUGCUGUGCUGCCUUUCACAGAAUGCUGAGCAUGGAGCACUUUCCCUAAGAAGUUUUUGACAUUGAAGUAAGGACCCAGAACCCUGGUAGAAACAGCAAGUGGCAAACCCAAGGAUCACAGAGCGGAGCGGUACAGUUAAGAAGUCUGGGUUAGGAGCACCUCUGCCACUUUGCUGUUCUCUGCUAUCAGGUCAGGCAGCUAUUUGAUGUGGAAGAGAGGGAACAAACGCUCUCUCCCCCCAGACAGCUCCUGGUCUUCUCCUUGUGUCUCAGGGGUAGAGGCUGUCUGGCAGGUGCCAUUACCUCCUCUCUACUGAGGUCCCCAGACACACGUGCUUCCUUUGGGCAAGAACUAGUGCAGCCAGGUGAGACAGCUAAGGAAUGGAGAAGAGAAGGGCCUCAUGCCACGUUUCAGGUCCAGAGUCCAUGUUCCAGUUCUUCCCAUUUACUGGCUAAUCACAGAGUCUCCCAGGCCUGAACACUGGGUUAAUUUCCCAACUUUCCAGGGUUUUGAGAGAGGGAAAUAAAGUCCCAGAGUGAGCAAGCUUUGUACAGUGCUGCACACGUGGCAGGCAAUAUUUAACCUGUGGCACUGCUGUGGGUGAUGUAUAGAUAUAUAUUUCACAAGAUGUAUAGUUUUAAAAGCUUCCACUCAAAGUGGGCCCUCCAACAAUGGCAGCAUAUGAAAGUGCUGUUGUCCGUAGAGAUUAUACAACCACACUCAGAGAGCUGCUGUGCAAGGAGAGCCCCACACUGAGUGGAGGCUGGGAAUGGGGCUGGGAAUGAGGCUGGGCAGCCUCGUUGCUCUGAGGCCGAGUGAGCCAUUGCUUGGAGCUGCGUGGGUGGUUGAGAGGUCUCGCUCAGCCCUUGAUUGCUUGUGCUGCAGUUGUCAUUCUCAGCCUGGGGCUGGCUGCUGAUGGCAUUUCUUUAUUUCAUUUGGCUGGCAUUAAUAGGCCUCUGCAGAUGUCCAAAGAUUAAGCUACUUGUGGUAGUAAAGAGAAAUAAUAAGGAAAGAAAGAAGAAAAUAAAAAAAAAAAAACCAUUGCAGCUAAAUGCUGUCCUACCACAAAACAGCAGACUUGCUCCCAGACCCUUAGUUCCCCCUUCAUUAAUCUCUCUCUCUCUCUCUCUCUCUCUUUUUUUUUUUUGACAGGCAGAGUGGACAGUGAGAGAGAGAGACAGAGAGAAAGGUCUUCCUUUGCCGUUGGUUCACCCUCUAAUGGCCGCUGCACGGCCGGCUCACCGCACUGAUCUGAUGGCAGGAGCCAGGUGCUUCUCCUGGUCUCCCAUGGGGUGCAGGGCCCAAGCACUUGGGCCAUCCUCCACUGCACUCCCGGGCCAUAGCAGAGAGCUGGCCUGGAAGAGGGGCAACCGGGACAGAAUCCGGCGCCCCGACCGGGACUAGAACCCGGUGUGCCAGCGCCGCAAGGCAGAGGAGUAGCCUAGUGAGCUGCGGCGCUGGCCCUUCAUUAAUCUUAAGCAAAAUAAUGGAUGAUUCUGAUUCUGUAGUUGGAGCCACCACUACCAGUCUGGAACUAGGGCUGUCUGGUGCACAUGGGUGGUGGGAGGGAGCCCAUGUCCUGUCUCUCAUCUAGGAUGAAAUCUCCUUCUUGGAACUGGGGUGGCCCUAUCCUGGUUGGUCCUGCAGCCUCACUGGUCUUCCUUCGAGUAUCAAGAGUGUAUCCCAUGAAGAUUGGAUCAUCUUGCUCCAAAGAGACAAGGACAUCUCUGUUCCAGAAUCUGAAAUCUAGCGUGGUCAUUGUAGCUCCAGAGAAUGCCAUGAAGAUUUGGAUGAGGUUUGAAUUUCCAUUCCAGCAUUUAGCUGACCUAAUAAGACUGUUCAGAGUCUGGGAGUAUCUAAAAAUCAUACUCUAGAAUUUAGAGGUCAAAUAAUCUGAACACAGACCACUCCUCCUAGCCAUGGGUCAAUUUAGCCAUUGCUGGACAGUAAUAAUACUCUGGGAAAACAAGUGCAGGCUCUGGGGCAUUGGAGUUCUAUGAAAGUACUGCCAUUUCUCAGGAACUGUCACUUGAAAUUCAUUUACUCAUCCCUUCAGGCAACAAAUAUUUAUUGAGCUUUUACUUUAUGCCAAGCACUGUAGCAGGAACCAGGAUAAAAUGCUGAGAAAAAUCAGAAAAUGUUUCUGUUCAUUAGAGCUUAAAGUUUAGUGGGAGAGCUUGAGGUAACCCAAAUAGUCACACCAACAGGUAUAAAAUUACAAUAUGAGGGGUAGUGCGGAGCCAAAAUUGUGGUUGAGUAAGAAGCUCCAGUGACCACCUGCCCUCAGAAACAUCAAUUGAAACAGCCAUAUAUUUACCAAGGCACCUGCACAAGAGCCAUGGAAGCCAGGUGAAAGACCACAGUACCUUAUGUUAUAAGAAAAUUAAAGAAAGCAAGAGUUUCCCUCAUCGUCCCUCUCCUGGCUCCAAGGAGCACAGCAUAGAGAAUCAUUUCCUUUGUGAGAGGGGAAGGGGACUGACACCUAGUGCCAGGGCCACUGUGAAGAAAGUGUCAGAGGGAGCCCACUGGCCCCUGCCCCAAGGCCCUUACCCAUGGAGAGACUACCUGGAGCUUCUUCAUCCAGGCAGCCUCUGCCACCCAGCUCCACAAAAGCUAAACUCCAGCCAAGCAGAGUAGGUGGGAGAGGGAGGUUAAGGCUGCACCUUGGAGCUCAAAUCUGGUUUACCACACUAGGAACAGAUACCUGAUAAAGCCUAAAGACCUCUCCCACCCAGAUGGCCCUUACAGACUGAACCUCUAGACUUGCCAAAAAUCAGGCAGACACACCUGUGCUCUGGUAGGCUGGGCAUUUUUUGGGCAUAUGUUGCUGUCAGCCUUGAGUGAGUUUUGAGGGUACUCCAGGACUUUGUGGGGUCCAGAGUGUAUAAACCAGGUGUGACCAGCCUGGGGCCAAUCUGAGUGGCUAGAAGUUGCCUUUGUCAUCUUCCACCAACCUUGAGAUGUCAUCAAGGAACCAAAGAACUGUGUCUGAUAAAUUAGUUUUGUGCUGGUAAAACCUAGUAAAGAACAGACCGUUAUGGUACCUAUGGACAGAGCCUCUGAACAUAACCCAAUAUCAGGCAGAGACUUGUACCCUGGUGAGACAGACCUGUUUUUGUAUGUAGCACCAAUAGCUUCUCACAGGCCUGGUGUGCACCCCUAAGACUGCAUAGAGCCAGGCCUGGUGAUGUGAGACCCAGGUGUGACCCACCUACAGCCUACCUGAGUAUCUAAGGAGCUGCAUCUACCCCUCCUAUAACCUUGAGAAGACCAGAAGGAAUCACAGGACCAUCUUGGAACUCAGAGGCGGGCUGAUAAAACCCAAGAUGGAGCAGCUUUUAAUGGUUGCUCUUACUAGCCCAGUGCCUGCAGACAGAGCCUCUGGAGCUCUUCUGGUGCCCAGAGGAGUUCUGUGGUCUUGGUUGAGCAGUCUCAUACUCCAGUCAGCAUCAUCAGUGAUGGAGGUGGAGCAUUGGAUAGUGAACCCACUUCAACAGCAGCAGGCAGACUGUAGCCCUCCACAACAACAUAACAGACUACUGAGAAUUUCUAUAGGACAGCCACAAAUGAGGCUAGGUUACUAAAAUGAGUUCCUCAGUGUGCAGAUGAUGUCACACUCCAGCAAACCUCAGGAACUUCCAGGGAACCAUGGCCUUACCUCAGUGCAAAAUAGGGUGCCAGAAACCAACCAUCUAGGAUUCAAGUUCCCAAAUGCUCAGAUGAAGAUUUCAAAACAGCCAUUUUAAGGAAAUCCAAUGAUAUUCUAAGGAACACAGAGGAAAAAGUCAAUAUUCUAGCAGAGAAACUUGAUAAACAUUGAAGUAAUUAAACAAAAUAAAAAUCAAACUGAAAUUCUCCAGCUAAAAAUAAAGUGAAGUUCAUCAGUAGCAGAAUAGAUCAAACAGAAGAGAGAAUCAGUGAGCUCAAAGACAGGCUAUUUGAAAAUACACAAUAGGAGGAGAGAAAAAAGAAUCAAGAGAAAUGAAAAAAGUUUAUGGGAAUAUGGGACAGCAUGAAAAGAGAAAAUACUCAACUUAUUGGGGUUCAAGAAAGACUUGAGAAUGCCAAAAUAGUAGAAAGUAUAUUCAAAGAGGUAAUAGCAGAAAACUUCCCAACUUAAAGAUACAAGUAUCCAGCUAUAGGGAGGUCAAAGGUCAUAAGUCAGAUUCAACUCAACCAAGACCACCCCAAGACAUAUCCUAGUGAAGUUCUAAAGAUAGAGGAUACUCAAAGCCACAGAAAAAAAGAAACAAUAGCAAGAAAGAGGUCCCAAUUCACCUGACUGUAGUCUUGUCCACAAGAAUCUUACAGGCCAGGAGGUAGUGGGAUUAUGCCAAUCAAGAAUACUUUAUCUAGCAAAUAUAACCUUCAGAUAAAAAGGAGAGAUAAAGAUAUUUCCAGAUAAACAAAAGCUGAGAGAAUUUAUCACCACCAGACCUGUGUUACAAGAAAUAUUAAAGGGAGUUCUUCAAACUGAAAGAAGACAAGUAAGAAGAAAAUAUGAGAAGAUAGAAAACUCACUGGCAAGAGUAAUAUUCUGAAAAAUUCAGAAAGCUGUAGUAUUAGAAACACGGUGUGUAAAUCAUUUAUAUCUUUAUUGUGAAAGCUAAAAAAAUAAUUGCUACACCAAAAUCUCAAGAAUCAGGCAGUAAGGGAAGAGGUCAACUAUCACAUCAGAAAUUCAAAGUGUGAGGAGGAAUGGAGCACAAAUGUGUCCUGCUUAUUGUUAAAAAAAUCUUUUUUGUGUUUUUUUUUCCUUGUUUUUAUUAUCAAUGUUAAGUUGUGAUCUUUUCAAGAGCUUGUUAAUAGAAGAAGUUUUUUUGUAUGCUUCAAGGUAACCACAAAGAAAAACAUACAUAGACUUACCAAAAAUAAUAAACAGGGAUUCAAAGCAUGCCACUAGAGAAAAUCACCUUACCACAAGUGAAGGUUGUAAUUUAGGGACAAAGAAAGAGAGAAACUACAAUAAAAAUACAAAAUAUAUAUCAAAAUGGAAAUGGUGAGACCUCAUCAAUAAUUACCUUGAAUGUCAAUGGGAUCAAUUCUCCAGUUAAAGGCAUAGAGUGAGUGAAUGAGUAAAAAAGAGGAUGCAACUAUAUGCUGCUUAAAAGAAACUCACUUCAGUUCAAAUGACACACAUAGAAGGAAGGUGAAAGGAUGGAACAAGGUGUUACAUGUAAUGAAAAUAAAGCAGGAGUAGCCAUACCCCUGUAAAAUAAAAUAUAUUUUUGAAUCAAAAGCAGUAAAAAUACAGCUGGAAAGUGAUUUCAUUAUGAUAAAGGAUUCAAUAGGAAAUAACACUGUAAAUAUACAUAAAUCCAAUAUUGGAGUUAGACUCCAAUACAGUAAUAGUUCUGGACUUUAAUAUCCCACAUUCAGAAAUAGACAAAUCUUCUAGACAGAAAAUCAACAAAGAAAUCGCAGAAUUAAAUUGUACUCCAGAUCAAUUCGGUAAACAACUUAUUGCUAUACCUCAAGGAAGUAAAAAAAUGAGGAAAAAAUAAAAUCCAAGAUUGAUAGGAAUAAAUAAAUAAUAAAACUCAGAGCACAAAUAACAGAGAGAAAAAAUAAAAAAUGAAGAGCUUUUUUUUUUCAAAAGAUAUAAUUAAUAAACCCUUAGCUAGACUAGCCUAGGAAAUAGAGGGGAAUUUCAAAUAUAUAGAAUUAGAGUUGAAAAUAGAGACAUUACCACUGACAGCACAGAAAUAUAAGAACUGUUAGAGAUUACUGUUGAUUACUAUAUGGCAAAAAAUUCAAUAACCUAGAAAAAUGGAAAAUUCUUGGACACAUAUACCUUACCCAGAAUGAAUAAUGAGGAAAUAGAAUACCUAAAUAGACCAAUAAUGAGUAGCCACAUUGAAUCAGCACUAAUAAAAAAAAAAAAUCCCUCAUCAAAGAAAAGCCCAGUCCCAGUUGGCUUCCCUGCUGAAUUCUACUAAAUAUUUAAAGAGGAAUUAACAUCAAUCCUUUUUUCAUUAUUUCAAAAAAUAGGAGUGAGUUCUUCCAAAUUUAUUAUAUGAGAGUGGCAUUGCCUUGAAGCCAGAGCCAGAGAAGGACAGAACAAUUAAACUACAGACCAACAUCCUUGAUUAAAGUAGUUGCAAAAGUCCUCAUCAAAGUGCUAGCUGAUUGGAUCCAAAAGCAUAUUAAAAAAGUGAUCAAGUGAGAUUCAUUCUAAGGAUGCAAGAAUAGUUCAGAUAUAUGAAUCAAUAAAUGUGAUAGAAUGAAGAAUAAAAGUCAUAUGAUCAUUUCAAUAGAAGCAAUACAUUUGAUAAAAUUCAAUAUCUCUUCAUGAUAAACACUGACUAAAUUAGGUGUAGAAGGAACAUGCCGCAACAUAAAAAAGGCCAUGUAUACCGAAGUAACAAGCAAUAUCACUGGAUGGAAAAAAUAUGAAGGUUUUCUCUCUAAGAUUUGAUACAAGACAAGGAUGCUCACUUUUAUUCAACAUAGUACUGGAGAUCUCAGCUACAACAAUCACUCAUGAGAAAGAAAUAAAGGACAUACAAAUAAAAAAGGAGGAUAUCAAGCUGUCACUGUUUGCAGAUGACAUGAUCUUAUUUAGAAAACUCCAAAGACUCCACCAAAAAAGCUGCUAGAAUCAAUAAACAAAUUUAGCAAUGCAGCAUAUGUAGUCAAUGUACAAAAAUUAGAAUUGUUAUACAUAAAUAGUGAAUCAUCUGAAAAAGAAAUCAAGAAGAUAAUCCCAUUUCCAAGAGCUGCAAAAACAUAAAAUACCUAGGAAUAAAUUUAACCAAAGAAGUGAAAUAUAUCUGUAAUGAAAAGUGUGUCACUGAUCAAAGAAAUUGAAGAAGACAAAAUGAAAAUGGAAAGACAUCUUAUGUUCAUAAAUUGGAAGAACCAAUAUACUCAAAAUAUGCCUACUACCCAAAGUGAUUUAUACUUUCAGUGCAAUCCCUAUCAAAAUGCCAAUGACAUUUGUCAUAUAACUAGAGAAAACACUACUGAAGUUUGUAUGGAACCCUGAAAGACUCCAAAGCAAUCUUGAGCAAAAUGAACAAAGAAGUAGACAUUACACUAUCCAACUUUAAUAUAUAUUACAAAGCUACAGUAAUUAAAAUAGCAUAUUACUGGGGCUGGCACUGUGGCAUAGAGGGUAAAGCUGCCGCUUGCAGUGCUGGCAUCCCAUAUGGGUACUGAUUCGAGUCCCAGCUGCUCCACUUCCAUUCCAGCUCUCUGCUAUGCCUGGGAAAGCAAUGGGAGAUGACCCAAGUCCUUGGGGCCUGCACCUACGAGCACCGUUGCAGCAGUUUGGGGAGUGAACCAGAGGAUGGAAGACCUCUCUGUUUCUCUCUCUCUCUCUCUCUCUCUCUCUCUGCUUCUGCCUCUCUGUAACUCAAUCUUUCAAAUAAAAUAAAUACAUCUUAAAAAAAUAGCAUGUUAUUGGCAUAAAAGCAGAUUCGGAGACCAGUGGAACAGAACACAGGUCCUAGAAAUAAACCCACGCAUGUAUAGCCAGCUGAUCUUUGACAGAGUUGCUAGGAAUAUACCUUGUAAAUAGGAUAGACUUUUUAAUACAUGCUGCUGGGUAAAUCAGUUAUCCAUAUGCAGAAGAAUGAAACUAGACCACUUUCUCUCACCAUUUAUAAAAAUCAGCCCCAAAUGGAUAAAAGACCUAAAUGUGAAUUCCAAGACUUUGAAGCUAUUAGAAGAAAACAUAGGGAAACCACUUCAGGACAUUAAAAUAUGUAGGGAUUUUCAGGAUCAGACUCCAGAAAGGACAGGAGAUAAAAGAAAAAAUAGACAAACAGGGGCCUGGCAUUGUGGUGUAGUGGCUUAAAUCUUCACGUGCAAUGCUAGCAUCCCAUAUGGGAGUGAGUUUGCAUCUCAGCUGCUUCACUUCCAAUCCAGUUCCCUGCCAAUGUGCCUGGGAAAGCAGCAGAAGACAUCCUAAAUCCUUGGGCUCCUGCAUCCACGUGGGAGACCUGGAUGAAGUUCCUGGCUCCUGGCUUUGACCUGGGCUCUCCCCUGACUGUUUCAGCCAUUUGGGGAGUGAACCAGUAGAUGAAAGAUCGAUCUCUCUCUCUCUUUCUCUCUCUUUCUUCUCUCUCUCUAGCUCUGAUUUUCAAAUAAAAUAAAUAAAUCUUAAAAAAAGACAAAUGGAAUUUCAUCAAGCUAAAGAGUUUUUCCCGACAACAAAUGAAACAAUCAGUAGAAUAAAGAGACAUCCUUCGGAAUGGGAGAAAAUGUUUGCAUGCUAUACCUCUGACAAGGGGUUAUUUGGAAUUAUAAAGGACUCAAUAGCAAAAGGAACAAAUAAAAACAAAAGUUGAAACAAUCUGAUUAAAAUAUGGACAAUAGAUUUAAACAGAAAUGUCUUAGAGGAAGACAUACACAUUUACCAACAGGUACAUGAAAAACAUGCUCUGUAUCACUACUCAGGGAAAUGCAAGCAACAAUGAGGUGUAACCUCAUACCAGUAAGAUUUGCUACCAGCAAAAAGAUGAAAGCUAACAAGAUUUGGCAGGAAUGUGGCAGAAAGGGAGUCCUCAUAUACUGUUGGUGGGAAUGUAAAUUCCUACAGCUGUUGUGGAACACAGUAUGGAGAUUCCUUAAGAAGCUAAAAAUAGAACCAUCAUAUGAUCCAACAAUCUCAUUGCAGGGAAUGUACACAAGGGAAAUGAAGCCUAUCUUUUGAAAGGACAUCUGUAUUCCCAAGUUUAUUGCAACACAUAUCUUGUGGCUUGUGUCCAAAAAAGCCUGGAAAGCACUACUCUAGAGUCUUCUAGGGAAACAGGUCUGUUUUGAGGUUCUGAGCCAAUAGGAAGAAACUCAGUACCCAGUGGGCGGGACUGACUCCUACAGAAGAUCCCUGAGUCAUUCACUCCAGUCCUGAGGUUUUGGCCAGGGAUGGCCAAGAGUUUCCCAGGAUGGUUCCACAUCUCUGGGCCCCAAGCAUCUAAAUCAAUGCUGUAAUCUUAGAAUUGAAUUCACUUCUUCCAAACCUGAUGCAUUCUACUAGAUGAAGGGAAGGAGACAAAAGUAAGUAAAUUGCUUUUGGGGCUCAUGACUGCUCCCUGGUGCUCAUCCCCACAGAUCAUGGUUACCUCCUAAAGCUUCUUGACUUGGCACUGAGUGUUUCAGGUCUAAGGCUUCCUUUAGCCUCCACAAAGUCUUUUUCUUCCAUCUUUUCAAGCCAUUGAAGAUAUGUCCCAUUUCUGAAGAUUUCUACAAAUGAGGACUUCUAAUUCUGCUUUUCCUACAUUUCCAUAUUAGGCAAAGACUUGAUUAGAAGUCUUCACACUGCCUCCUAUACCUGUGGAUCAAGCUCAGAAUCAAAGGCUUCAGAGAACAUUGGAGCUCAGUCAUUUGGGACAGUGAGUGUGUUGCAGACACCUGCAUUUCAAAAUUUGACAAGGAGUGAUGAACGGAGCUGCAGGGGAAUGGUUCCUUUGGUUGCUACAGAAACCAAAUUGAGUUGGGUUUAGCAUUUAAUUAUAGGGUACACCCAGAGAUGGAGUUAAACAUUGUCUACCACUGUUUUUGUUUUUUUUUUUUUUUAUUGUAACUCCAAUCCUCUUGGCAAGUAGCAGCGGUAACUCCCGGGAAGCUAAAAGGGGGCAGUAGAACAUGUUGUGACAAAGGAGAGGGUGUUGUAGAAGUUUAGAAGUGGCAAGGACUUAGCCUUCUACCAAUGGCAGGAUUGUUGUCCAAGAAUUUCCUUUCCAGCCUCUGGUUCCUGCCAAUUAGGAAGGCAAUCUCAAGAAUAGCAAAGGGAACUGGAUAGGAUCUAGAGCUGUGGUUUCCAAGAUAGUUGCCACCUGUGGCUAUUAAGCACAUGCAAUGUGGCUUGUUCAAAUUCAGAUGUGCUGUAAAUGAGAACACAUGCCAGAUUUCAAAGACUUAGGGUGAUAAAACCAAUGUAAAGUAUCUUAUUACUCUAAAAAUACUGAUUAUGUAUUGAAAUUAUAGUAUUUUGGAUUAAGUAAUAUAGAAUUAAAAUAAUUUCCACUACAUUCUUUUGAUUACUUGUAUAUUAACACAAAAUUUAGAAGUAUAUAUGUGGCUCAUAUUAUAUAUCUAUUGGACAGAACGGGUUUACAGACUCCUGUUCUGAGACUGGAUUGGGUCGAUUUUCCAUUAACUGGAGAAGGUGUCUAACCUUGAAUUACUUUGGGUUCUUUACCUGCAAGAUGAAAGAAAGUAAAUGCCCUCUCUGGCUUUUUCAGAGGGUUAUGUGAAGAUUCAAUGCUAGCAUGGUUUCCAUAGUGUACUUUCAAGAUUCCCCAUUUAGGGUCAAGGGACUCAUUUCCCAGGUAAUCAAUCUGUGUGUGCUGUUGAUGACUACAGUUGAGUGCCUCUUAAGGAAUUUUUUGUAGCUGAAUGGAGCUGCCCAUCAUGAGCUCGAUUCUUUCAGAUGAGCCUGCAAGAUGCAAGUGGUUCAUUCAGUGUCAAGCACAAGCAGGCCACAGAUCACAGGGAAGCUAUGUGAGCAAGUGGCUCGGACUCUUCUGUCACCUGUGUUGUUUUCUGUCCGUCAGCACACACUGGUGGCAAUGGCUGCAGUGGAGACUACAUUACGAACAGUGUAUGGAGGGGAAAAAUGGUCAAAUUUGGGUUACAGAUGGGUUGGCUUUGUUUGUGUGCAAGCCUGAAAAUCUACUGCUGUGAACCAAAGCUCCACUGAGGGUGACUCCUAAAGAAAGGGAUGAGAGGAAAUUCUCUCAAUAGGCAAAAUGUUGAGCGACAGACCUAAUAAUUCAUUCUGUAAAGAGAGAGAAGUGGACUAAAGUAGGAAUAUAUGAGGGGGCUUAAAAAAUGGAAUUAAAAAUGUUUAUUUUGGUGCAAAAAUGAAAUCCAUGCAAAAAUUUGUGAAAACACAUAUGAAAAAUAAUUUAUGGACUUAAAAAUUUUUUUGCACCAAAAUAGACUCAUCUUUUAUUUCCAAUUCCUAUGAAUUUUCAAAAGUACCCUCAUAUAUCUAUAGGAUCACGAGAAGUAAUGAGUGGCUUGGCUGGUGGAUCAGGGAUGUGGAAAGAAAAUGAUUGAAAAGCUUGGAAUAAUAUGGCUGGUGAAGAGGUAUAGCCUUUGGAUGUGGGCAUAAAGGGUCAGAAUCUUUGUACUGCAUGUCAACACCACCUGAGAUCAGCCAUCUUGGAAGAGGUACCAGACAACCACGUGAUAAAUUGACUCAGCCAGCUGGCCUCAAACAGCUUCUGUCUUCGACUAUUCUAGUAUAUGAGCAAAGGGUAGUGAAUAGAAUGCCCAUGGUGGCAGGGACUUAGGUGAUCCAUGUGAUAUGUACUCUAAAUAAACAACUGCUAUAGAGGGAUGUGAGGGUAAAUAAGGAGUUGCCUUGUUUGCUAUCCCUCCCAGUGACUCACAUGGAAAAUUUGUGCUCUCCAUCCCCACAGCAGUAGACCCUGUAGGUCUAGAGGUGCUGGUUUCUGGAGGGGGAAUGCUUUAAACAGUGUCUAUGAUAAGGGCACAUUGUACCCUAAGCUGUCAUUACCAUCUGUUCUCUUCUGCCUCCUUGUACCCAGACGUCAGCAGGCAGGGACAGGAGUCACUACAUAGGUAGGAAGGAUUGACCUGGAUAAUAGGAUGAAGUAGUGCCAUAUUGCAUAAUGUAGCAUUCAGUUGUCACAACGGGGCAUCUCUCAAUACCCCCUAACUCGAUUUAAAAUAAGUAGACAAGUGUAGCACCCAUGGCCAGAGAAGAGAGUGGUGAGAAGAAACUUGCUCAGUGUUCUCAGGGAUGAGGGCUUGGGCCACACCAUUAGGAACAUAGACCAGCAGAGAUAUUAGCCGAGGGUGAGAGGAAUCUGAAAUGGAUAGCAGAGGAAGGUGAUAGCAAAGAUCAUCCACAGCCUCAAGACCAGAUGCUGUAAUGGUGGUUUAUCCCACUAAUCUAGCUCUGAAUGUUUCCCCGGGUGAAGAAAGGACAGAGAAGUUGCUCCCAGAAAGGGUGAAUCUGGCUGGUACAAAAGCUACACAGCACUGGAUAUUGUGGUGUAUUGCCUGGAGUUCCUACCUAGGAUUGAAGUACUCAGCAUCCAACUGCCGGGAGUACUGGCUGCUAAUGAAUGACAUAGGAGUUCCUCUCCAAGAAUUACUCAUGUCUGAAGGGAGCCCAUGCUCACAGCUCCUCCGCAAGGAAAUCCACAACCAACAAUUGGUUGGGGUAGAACAAGAAACCCUGGCUCCUUUGUCUUGACUCCAGACCAUAUUGUAAGGCAUCCUAGCUCCCGAACUUCCUGUAGUUCUUCUUUUGCCUGAUAUUAUACCUGAGGACUUGUCCCAAAAACUUUGUGCAUGCAAACCUUUGUCUCAGAAUGUGCUUUUGGGGCCACCCAAACCUAAGAGGGAUGAUCCUAGUCACUGGUGCAAAAACACUGAACUUGACCUUGGAGGUUCUAGAUUCCACUGAAAACUCUGUCCUGGUUUACUGUGUGUAAAAUGGGGAUGACAAGAAACAAGUCUGAAUUAUGUGAUUCAAUGUUGCUUCCAAGUAUGACUUUCCACUUGUGUGAAGUAACUGGGGAAAGAUAACAGUUAUAUGAAGAGCUAGAAGGAGCCCUGGGAAUCUUUCAGAUGUCCUUCACUUUACAUGUCAAGAAACUAAGUGAUCUUCCCGUGAGUGCCCUGCCAGAAAGAGCAGAGGUGAUGGCCGGCGCCGUGGCUCACUAGGCUAAUCCUCUGCCUUGAGGUGCGGCACACUGGGUUCUAAUCCCGGUCGGGGCGCUGGAUCCUGUCCCGGUUGCCCCUCUUCCAGGCCAGCUCUCUGCUAUGGCCCAGGACUGCAGUGGAGGAUGGCCCAAGUGCUUGGGCCCUGCACCCCAUGGGAGACCAGGAGAAGCACCUGGCUCCUGCCAUGGGAUCAGCGCGGUGCACCAGUCGCAGCGCGCCAGCCGCGGCGGCCAUUGGAGGGUGAACCAAUGGCAAAGGAAGACCUUUCUCUCUGUCUCUCUCUCUCUCACUGUCCACUCUGCCUGUUAAAAAAAAAAAAAAAGCAGAGGUGAGAUUUGAACCUGGACUUCAACCUGACACCCUGUCUUGUUUGUGCUCUUUACCAUCUCUGGGUCUCUGGUGUCAGUGACUAUUUGCAAGUUGCAAGAGUAUUUGAAAUAGGGAAAUUGGAAAAUUUAGGGUUGGUUAGAGGAUCCUGAUCAACUGGCUGCUCCUGCUGCAUGUCUAUAGUUUCUGUUGUGCAGCUAACAAGACAAGGAGUCACCAUAAUGCAGGAGUCAUCGACCCUGAUGGGAGGAAAUUCUGUCAUUUACUUAUACUAGGUUGACAGGAGGUCAUGGCUUUUGUCCUAGGGUGGGACUUCUUAAAUUUUAAUGUGCUCAUGAAUCACUUGGGAUCUUGUUAAUAUAAUGACUCUGAUUCUAUAGGUCUGUGUGGGGCCAGAGAGUCUGCCCUUCUAGAUGUUUCUCAGUGUUGAUGCUGCUGGCUCAUUAGCCAUAUUUUGAGUAGCAAGGUGGUGGAAAGCGGGUUUCAACCGCUGGGAUUGUCAGAAACACAUGGGAACUUAUUGAAGCAGCUCAAUCAAACUACUCAUGGUCAGGGGUUCAGAUUCCACAGUAUAGGAUGGGCAUCACUAAUUUAAAACUCAAGUAGUUGAGGUCACCACCAAUGUUUAAGAACUGAGGUUCUAGGGCAGUGAUAUUCAUGGUUACAACUGACAUUUGUGUUCAUGAUGAAGCUGAACAGGCAGCACAGGACUGCCACAGGAAGAGGAAGGAGACAUGACUGUUGCCUGAGUGUCGCUGAGGUCACAGGUGCUGGACAGUAACUGAGUGUACAUCACGGACCAGUCACAAAGGGCCAUGGAAGGAAUCCCUGGGACUUAUGUGGGUUGGAGUUUUGUUAAAACAAUCUAUAGAAAUAAAACAUUUCAUUACUUAUAAGAUGCAUCCUACAGUUGUAAUUUUUCAUAACAAUUAAGGUGGUGGAAGUUGACGGACUACUUGAGAUUUCAUUUUGCAGAUUGAGAUCAUAGACUCAGACUGUAGGAAGUGAGGGCCUGCUUGUUGUUCCAGUCUAUGAGCUUCAUUCCAGCACUUGUCUGGGAUGCCCACUUGUCUAGUUGGCAUCUGCUUUCUGCUAACUGGGAUUCUUAGCCUGUUUCAGAUGUGAGUGAGCUCUUCAGUGGUGUUUAUCUACCUCCAAACACUCUUUGGUUGGCUCACUUGCUGGCCUGCUGCUCAGGGGGACCCCAAAUCCAUGCCUACUCACUGCCAGCUGCCUGGCUAAUGGGCAUCCCUGCUUCGUGGCAAACGCAAGGUUCUGCUGCCUCAGCACAGGGCGGGCUGGAAUUCAGUGUGGGAUGGAAUGUCCCAAGACACUCACCCCCUGCCAAACUCACUCCCUCCCUGCCAAACUCACUCCCUCAGACUCUGGUUGCCUUUGCUUGUUCAUCAGAAGACACUAAGAUGAACUGUGAAGGAAGGACCUGUUAGCAGGACAGCCACGUUGGCAGCACAGCCCUGAUGGCAGCCACAGCCUUCCCACCGGGCCUGUCAAAGCUAGGGGCUGGGGAAGUCAGUGUCAUCUUCAGACAGCUGACCUAGGACUGGCUCAGAAAGCCUCAGCCAGUCAAUAGCUCUGCAACUCUGAGUAUGACCACAAUGCAGAAUUAUCCUGUAGCAUGCAGAGCCUGCAAGGAGAGUGGAAGGAAGACGGUAGGUUAAUGGAACUGGGACGUAGCCAGGACAGCAGUAUUGGCCUAUUCUUUACUGAGGAAAGCGGCCCAGUUGCCCGUGGAUGAAACUCCAUGGAUCAAGCUCCAGGGAUUAAAAUGAAGGUCUGCAUUUUGCAUUGUGACCACUUUUGCACAAUGAAGUGAUGAGAUCUUUUUUCUUUCUCUCCUCCCAGUCUUUUCAAGGUAUUUUCCCUCCUGGUACUCCCUGGCACUUCCCCCAGGUUAUCGCUCCUUAUACUUUGCUGGGCUCAUGUCUCCUUCCUUGUGGGUUUUUGUACUUUAUAUCCCCUUCUCUUGCCAACAGUAGUUUGUUUCAUGAAAUCAAUUACAUAAUUAACUGACCACCAAGUGGACUUAAUUUUUUCCAUUAAAUACAUUGUGGACAAGUGAUGAGUAAGACUGACCUGAUAACGAGGCAGAGAGUAGAAUGAGUGAGAGUAGCAAUAAUAACUAGCUUCCUGUGAGUGCUUACUAUGUGAGAGGCCUAAACACCUUAUUAUCCAUUAAAUAUUCAGUUAAAUGAGGAUUUUCUUGUGAGUGCAUGCAUUUUUUUUAAAAAAAGUUAUUUUAUUUAUUUAAAAGAGAUAGAGAAAGAGAGAAAUCUUUCAUUUGCUAGUUCACUCCUCAAAUGGCUGAAACACCUGGGGCUGGAGCAGGCUGAAGCCAGGAGCCAGGUGCUUCAUCCAGAUCUCUCAUGUGGGUGCAGGGGCCAAGUACUUAGGCCAUCUCCCACUGCUUUCCCAGGUGCAUUAGCAGGGAGCUGGAUUGGAAGUGGAACAGCUGGGAUUCGAACUGGCCCUCACAUGGGAUGCUGGCACUGCAGGCAGUGGCUUAACCCAUUAUACCAAGUGUUGGCCCCAGGAUGCACACAUUUGCUAAGCCCAUUUUUCAGAGGAGAAAAGUGAGGCACAGAAUGGUUAUGUGGGGUCUCUGGGGUGGAGCCCCCCUUGGUGGAAAUCAUGGCACUCUCUUCCCCAUCCUUGAUUGUGAAGUUUUACUUAGCUUUCAAAGUCUUUAGUUGGAGGUGGGAUGAGAGCAGAGAUAAGUAGAUGCUAUGGUUUGAACAUGAUUUGGCUCCUCCACUCACAUGGAUGAGUAAGUUCCAAAGUCAUGGACAGAUGAUACUAAUGGAGUGGUGUCUUUAUUCAAUUAUGGUGCCUAGGAGCUGGGCCUGAUGGGUGGUCCUUAGGUCACUGGGGGCGUGCUCUUGUGAGAGGGAUGAUUGUAUAAGCCAAGUAGUGUCUGGCCUCUCUCUGCUUCCUGGCUUGCUAUGUGCAACUCUCUCCAGCCUCCUCUGGUUUCAGCAGACGACUGAACCAAUGGGGCCACCUGAGCUUAAAUUGUAAACUACCAAAGCAAUAAACUAAAAUAAACUUGCUCUCUUCAUAUGUAGUCUGGGUCAGGUAUUGGUUGUAGAGAUGAAAAACUGACUGGGUGAGUAGAAUUCACAACUGAAUCUGUUUUCCUUUGUUUCAGGAGAUAUCCAUUCAAAAACCUCAGGAAACUUUGUGAAUUAUAAAAUCAUGCUAGUUGGAGCCUGCGCUGUGGCGUAGUGGGUAAAGCUGAUGCCUGCAGUGCCAGCAUCACAUAUGAGUGCCGGUUCGAGUCCCAGCUGCUCCACUUCCAAUCCAGCUGUCUGCUAUGGCCUGGGAAAGCAGUAGAGGAUGGCCUAAGUCCUUUGGCCCCUGCACCCAUGUGGGAGACCUGGAAGAAGCUCCUGGCUCCUGGCUCCUGGCUUCGGAUCAGCCCAGAUCUGGCUAUUGUGGCCAUUUGGUGAGUGAACCAACAAAUGGAAAACCUCUCUCUGCCUCUGCCUCUCUGUAACUCUGCCUUUCAAAUAAAUAAAUAAAUCUUUAAAAAUCAUCAUAUUUGUCAUCUCAUCUUUUCAUUGGCUAUGAUUCGACAUAAAACCCAUAAAAUAAUAAGGCUGAUAUGAUUUGGGGGGUGGGUAGGGGAGGUGGUGAACUUAGAAAGAAGGUACUGAGAGAGGAGGAGCUGGGAGGCUGUGUCCUUUUCCGUUAGUGUGAGGGCAGGAGGACCCCCAGGGCACCAGCUGGUGAUGACAGCAUCCAAGAGGCCAGGCUGCAGAGACUGAUCAGGUCUAGGGCCUCCUUUCGGGAGACUUGGGCUUUGAACAAAGGGCUGCACUGCAGAGCAGAAUGCAGAGGAGAGAGAGGCCCAGUGCUGGUGAGAUCAGCAAAGCAGGGCAGAUUCUCUGCAGCCAGAAAUCUGAAACACACACAUGCGAUCCCGCCUGUACUUGGUGUGGGCCAAGUCUGUUGGAAUAAAAAGGGCUUUGGAUGUGUCUACGCUCAGCUCCUCGGCUGAACUACAAGCCUUUAAGGCGUCUCUCUGUUCUCAGUCGGAAGAGGAAAGUGGAGCAGUCAGAAAGGAGAAAGGCGCGGGCCACGAGCACUCGGCCAGGGUUUCCUGGGAGAUCCACUGGCUCAGGGCCUGAGGUCUGAGAUGGGGUCGCAGUACCAGUAUGACAGGUGCUGUGUUCUUCCCUCACUGGGGAGCUGAGACCCCUUCAGCAGUGAGCAGCUAAGGGCACUGCGGUUUUCUAGGCGGAAUGUUGGGAGACAGCAGGUGGCGCUCUUUCUCCUGAAACACGUCCGCAGCUUGGCUGGCACACCUGCCGGGGGCGGCAAGCCGUCUGAUCGCUGCAGUCCGCAGUCACCCAAGAGGACCAGCGUAAAAAUGGCUGGUCAGGAAGGCCUGCCAAGUAUAACGUCCCCCGGACCCGAAGUCACCCAGAGGGCUCUAGAUGGGCGUGGGCUGGCUGCACUGAUCAACGUGGAAGCGCCCAGUUCCCUUUUCACGACCUCAGCAUACACGGCUGCCUUUGCAAAGGAGGACGUUCUGUGUUACACGUGCUGACUGCACCCAUCUGGGCUUUAGAUCAGACCUGGAAGAGUCACGCUGCCCCUGUGUGUGACAAGCAUAUGUGUAGUUCGUCACGUGGGAAGGUGAGAGGGCCGGGGUCCUGUGUGCCACCCGGGUGAGACGCUGUUCCCUGGGGAAUGCAAGGACGGCAGGAUUCUGUGAGAACCUCUUACCUGGGGGGACUUGCUGUAACCAGGAGAUGUUGCGAUUUCUCAGAGGAAUAAUCUGACAGUGGUUCUCCUCGGAAGACCCAUUAUCUGAAAAGAUGCUAAAUAAACAGAAAUAACUCUCUCCUCCAAACAGAAAAUAAAAAUAAUUUCAUGGUGAAGAAAAAAGAUCGCUGGAGGGGCCCACACUGUGGCUUAGCAGGUUAAAGCAUCUGCCUGUGGCGCUGGCAUCCCAUAUGGGCGUCGGUUUUGGUCCCGGCUGCUCCACUUUCGAUCCAGCUCUCUGCUAUGGCCUGGGAAAGCAGUGGAAGAUGGCCUGAAGGAAGCUCCUGGCUCCUGGCUUCAGAUUGGCCCAGCUCCAGCUGUUGCAGCCAAUUGGGGAGUGAACCAGCGGAUGGAGGGCCUCUCUCUAUCUCUCCCUCUGAAAC